rnacentral:lncRNA from 1 species
AACUUCUACAACAAUCUUCAAGGUAAAAAGGGUUUGCUUCAAAGUGACCAAGAAUUAUUCUCAACACCGGGUGCAGAUACCAUUAGCAUUGUCAACAGCUUUGCAAAUAGCCAAAAUGUUUUCUUUCAGAACUUUAUAAAUUCAAUGAUUAAAAUGGGUAAUAUUGAUGUGCUUACCGGAAAGAAAGGAGAAAUUAGAAAACAAUGCAAUUUUAUUAACAAGAAAUCUUCUGAAUUGGAUCUUGGCAUUGUGGCCUCUGCAGAAUCAAUGGAAGGGGAUAUGGUUAGUUCAAUCUAAAUGAAUGUGGGUUACUUUAGAUGAAAUGUGGUGAUUGGAAUUCACUAAUAAAGAGAAGUGCUGGCUAAGCACAUUUGUGUCAUGAGGUAUACUGUAUUUUACGUGUUUUAUGUGUGUAAGAUAACCUUCUUUCAAUGUAAUUUUCAUUAUAAAAUCCUUUCUUUCUGUCACAAGCUCUUUCUGUGUUUUUUUUAACAACAAAGAGAAAAUUAUUAUAACAAAGAUGAAUAAGUACAACUACAAGUAGUACUAAAUGAAAAUUUAGAAAUGAAGUACAAAAUAUACUUCACUCUUAUAUUUUGAUAAAACCACUUAUGUACUUAAAUAUGAACUACAAUUAUUGAAAGUUGAAUUUUGAUGCCUAAAACUAAUUCUUGAUUUUUUUUUGACAAGAAAAAUAAUUCUUGAUUAUUGAAACAUUCAUUAGGUAUUAAGCAUUUUCAAUACAUUAUAACUACACCGCCAAAAUAAAAUACAUUAUGAAUGUUCAUAAGAUCCGUGCGGCGCACAGGUCAGCGAUCUAAUAGUAACUUCUAAAAACCAACAAGUUGAGAAGCAAAAUCAAAAUACCCUAAUCCAUAAAAUGAAAAUUUCACGAAGGUAGUGACAAACCUGAUAUUAAAUAACCUUGAUGGAAAAAAAAAAAUUGUUAUACACAACUAAUAGAUUAUUUAGGGCUAGCUGGUUAAAAUAGUAUAGGGAGGGGGUGAAAUAUACACAACUAAUAUAAUUGUACUUGUCUUAAGAGUCUAUUUAGACCCUCUAUUUCUUGCUACCCGGUAAUUGAGUCUAGUUAAUACAAAUGUUUAAUAUUACGAUAAAUUAACAAAAGAGUAAAGAACAAUGAAUCAAUGCGGUAUUAGUACCAAUCCUAAACUAAGAAAAUAUAUAAUUUCAAUGAGCCUUAAGACUCAACAAAAAGAAAGAAAGAAAGAAAGAAAAGAACAAAUAGCUACUGUCAAAUUGAGUAUGUGCAUAUUAUUUCAACAACUUCAUUAUCGAUAGAAAGCAAAACUAUAUUUUACAAUAUUUUUGGUAGUACCGUCAAAGAAGCAAUAUCUUUUGAAGUCUAACUUUAUAGAUCAGUCUGCCACCUAUUAUGUUAUCAGUAUAAAAAAGUUGAAAUAGCCUUGUAAUUGACACCAUAUUUUGUCCUCCUUAAUUCUUAGAAGAUUUAACAAAUAUAUUUUUUUUAAUCGGCAAAAAAACAAAAAUUAGCAUAAGAUAGUAUAAUCUACGUUCUAGUUAAAUAUAUAUGCAAUGUAUAAUUGACAAUAAAAUAAUUGAAUUAUGAAUUUUCACCUACGAAAAAUGACAUUUAAUGAUGGAUUUUGUUCGUAGGUACAAAUUUUUUUUCUUCCUUUUCUUUUUCUCUAACUUUUGAGGCCCUUUUAUGUUUGUGGCCCAGUGCCAAGGGCUUUGAUGCACACAGUCAAUCCAAAAAUUGGUGUGGUGCGGUAGUGGAGUGCCUAACAGCCGCUAUAUUUUGGUGGCACAACUGCAAAUACAUUUAAUACUAAAAUACCCCAAAUAUUAAAAUACCUUAAACAUUAUCAAAUGACUAACCUUCAAUGACCAACCUUGCGGAAACCCAAUGCAAAUGAUACUUUCAACCAUGAUAACCUUCAAGUUGGACAUGUGCAUAAUAAAUCAAUAUUGAAAAUAUUAAUGCACCAAAUUUAGUAAUAAUUAUGCAUAUUUCAAAAUUUAUUUUUAUUACUUCAACCAUUUUUCUUAGUAUCUGUGCAUUUUUGUAAAGCACUCGUAUAAAAUAUAAAAAUGGACAGAGGAUUAUUUGUUUAGAGAAGGCACGCCACAUGUAAAAUUGGAAGGAAAACAUUACUUUCAAUUAGAUUUUAUGAUCUAUUCCGGGAAAAAAAGUUUAAGAUGAAAAAGACAACAACUAUUUAUAUUAAAGCAGUUUUAUGACAGUUUACUUUCAAUAUUGUUUUCUAUUUUAAUUUUACUACAACUAAUAAAUAUAAGAGAAUAUUUAAUCGAAUAUACUCUUUACCAUUUUCUUUAACAAUUUUUUCAAGUUUAUCUUCCCAAUUUUAUUACAAUUGCCACAUGAAUCUUCCAACCCAUUGUUAAUAAUUUAAAAUGUUUAUCCAAAAGUGUUCAUAUGAGAUGACGCGUAUUUCUUCUAACUUAACUAAUAUACUGGUUCUAAUUCGAUAUUAGACAUACAACAACGUUAAAACUUUUAAGGAGAGUUUGUUACCAUUUCGUCAAACUUUAAAAUAAUUACUAUUAUAUAAGGUACAAAGUUUUUCCAAUAAAAAUUUCAAAAUAAAAAUCAUACAUGAACUUGUUUGGGAGGCUGCUGAAUCAAAGAGUAAGCCAAGUUGAAUAAAUUAAUAAGUGUGGAAGUGACAAACGAGAAAAGCCAAUGCUAAAAAUAAAAAAUGAGAGGGGGCAGAAAAAUAAAAUAUCUAUCUAUAUAUAGACUAAACACAACUUCGAAAUCACACACAAAUUAUAUAUAAUUUAAUGCAACACGUACCAUUUGUAGAAUAUAACAUCUGUCCAAAUUUUAUACAAUAAUAAUAAGGUCAUGUUGACUUGUGUUUUAAGGAUAUAAGUUAAGAAGUUAAAAAAGGAAUAAAUCAAUAAAUAAACAAGUUAAAAAGAUAAAAUUUAAAGCAUUUAAAAUUUUAUUUUUAUUUUUAGUUUCUUAACUUGUGCUUUUAGAGCACAAGUUAAUAUUCCCCUAUAAUAAUAGGAGUUAGUAAUAACAACUCCACAAAGAUUCUGUCAAACAAAACAACAGGGUAGUUAACAACGUAAAUGCCGGGAAAAUUAAGACUAUAGAACUAAUCCUGGUCGAGACACGUGAGCCCAUGUUCGGUUCAGCAAGACAUUUGACUAUUUUAUUUGACAAUAGUCAUGUGUUUUUGUUAGAGGACAAUAUAGUCAUAAUAAUACAUCAUUUUAAGGAGAUAUUGAUUUAUAUACUAAAACUUAUUUUCAUAUGUGUUCAAUUAAGUCAUGUAAAUAUUUUAAAAACUGAGCUAAAAAGAUGGCAUCAUGAUUUGAUUUGUAUAAAUGUACAUGUGUAAAAUAGAAUUACUAGGUUCUGUUUGGUUUGCAAAACAGUAAGUACUAAACAUAAUUGUACAAGACAGAACAACACAACACAAGACAGAACAAUAUAAGAAAAAUUUUUAUGGCAUUGAAUAAUUUUUCGUUUUAUACGAUUGUUAGCGGACGAAAUACUAUUUUGGAAUUUUAGACAACUUGUGCGUGGGACAAAAAGUUGUGAUGUGGUUUGGUGAGGAACAAAAAUAUGAUUUUUUGUCCUGUCCCUUGCCUCCAGUUUGUCCUGUAACUGAACAGUUUACAAAUCAAACAUUGGACAAUUGGAGUUGUUUUGUCCUGUCCUUCAUUUUUUAGCAAAUCAAACACACCCUCAAUGUAUAAAAGUUUCAAGUUAUUGAAGCGUACACAUAUAAAACUAUAUAUUGUAUAAUUAUUUUAAUAAUAUUAAUAAUGAUAAUAAAAAAAAUAGUUUUUUCUUUUCUACUUUUUUUAUUUGUGUGUGUGAAUGGAUUUUCGGUUGUUAUUACAUGACAUUGUAAUCGAUAUAUAGGGUUAAUGGUGUUUUACCCCCUGUAAUAUAGGUUAUUUUUUGUUUUUCCCCUGUAAAAUAUUUUUUUUUAUUUACCCCCUGUAAAAUAUUUUUUUUUUUAAAUACCCCCUAAUAGGUCAUAAAAAAACGACUUUAUUUUUUUUCCAGAAUUUUUUCGCUUUUUUAUGACCUAUUAAGGGGGUAUUCCAAAAAAUAUAUAUUUUACAGGGGGUAAAUCAAAAAAAAUAUUUUACAGAAGGAAAAACUAAAAAUGACCUAUAUUACAGAGGGGUAAAACACCAUUAACCCUAGAUAUGUACCUUCUUAUUGUAAAUAAGGCAAGACCGUUUUAAUGCGUAAAACUGAAUUUAAAAUUUAAAUCACCCACUCUGAAUUAUUUUAAAGACCUUUAAUCAAUGAUAUGAGAUAAACUCCGAAACUAUAUGUGAAAAUGCUAAAACAGGGAAAUAGAGGAUAACCAUGUGUAGACUAAAUAACUUAAAUUUAGAGUGUGACUACACAAACAUUGACCUCGGUGUAAAUACAAUCUAAGCAAUAGUUAUUGGAUUUUACGGGGUCCACACAAUACAACAUCAUUGACCAAAACACCAAUACUCCUUUGUUUUAGUUUUGUACACUUCAUCAUCAAGAAAUAAAGUGUGAUGGCGGUUGAGAUACGACCGUCAGAGUGGUGAUCGAUGGUGAUCAGAGUGGUGAUCGCAAUGAUGAAUAGAAUAGUAAUCUGAUGAUAGUUGGAAUGGUGACAGUGGUAGUCAAAGUGAUAGUCAAUGGUGAUCAGACUUGUAAUUUGAAGUUGAUUAAACGGUAGUUGGUGGCGGUUAGAGUGGUAAUCAUAAUGGUUAAUCAUGUGGUAGUGAAAUUGGAGAUUGAGAGUGGUUGAAGUGGUGGUCGGAAGUGCUCGAAGUGAUGGUUGGUGGUGAUCAAACUGGUGUUUGGCAGUGAUUAGAGUAGUUGUCGGAAACCAUUAGCGGUCACCCAUGUUAGACUCCAAAUAAAAAUGAAAAUUAUAACAUUUAUUUUUAUUUUUAUUAUUUUGAUAUUUAAGUGAAAUUAGGACUGGCCCUGGCCAAUUGCAACCAACCCUGCAACCAACCCGGCACAUGGCCUCACACUUAGAGGAGUCUCAAAAUGUUUAGAAAAAAAAAAUGUACCUACGGAUAAAAUCCGUCACUAAAUGUCAUUUUUUUCGUAGCUAAAAGUUUGGAAGACAACAAUUUUGCUGUGAAUUAUGAAUUGUACAUAAGUAAAGGUCUAUUUAUCCGUAGGUAAAAGUUUGGAAGACAACAAUUUUCCUGUCAAUUUUAAAUUGCCAUAAGUAAAUGUCUAUUUAUCUGUAGGUAAAAGUCAUGUUUGAACUAUUCCUUAUAUAUUUAAUAAUAAUUUGAUUGUUUAUCACCAUCAAUAGUGUUGGAUUUUUUUUCAAUUCUUAUAAAAUAAAAAUUGUCAAGUUUAUGACCGGACCUUCGAAUUGUCGGAACAGUCCUAAGUGAAAAUAUUUUCAAAUAAAGUAAGAAAUUAUUUUAACAUCAUUUUACACGAACGUGUUUGUUUUUCAAUUUAACUUUUAAAAUAAAAACUUACGACCAUCAUGAAUGGUCCCUAAUGUUUUACAAUGGAGAGAUACAAAAACGUUUUGUUAUCACCGAAGAGUUAAACUCUGUUUGUAAAAAAAACAAAAAACUCUUUUUGUCAAAGCCAAUUUUCGAAUUUAACAAAUACUUUAUAAAUUUAUAUGACCAAAAUAGACUUGUCUGUUAAUUAGUUUUUUUUAACGAGCCAAAGUCAUUUUUUACUAGGUUACAAAGUUGUUUGAUACACUUCUUCAAGUAGCAUUUGAACUUAUAAUUAAAAAGGUAAUUGUUUCAUAAAACCAUAUUUUUAUAUCAUUUGAUAUUUAUUUAGUUUAACCGUUAACUUUACCGUAUGAUAUAUGAUAUGUAUAAAUUCAAUCUACUACAUUAUUAGCCAUAUGCUAAUUCGCUAUCUGACUACCAAGCAUUUUUUUUUUUUAUCACUUUAUAGAUAAUUUGAAUGGAUAUUUAAAGUUACUUUGUUCAAUUAAUUUCUUUCGACUGCAACACUAUACAUAUACAACAGUAUAUGCUUUGAAAUCCUAAUCACUAAAGUCAUAAAAGAAAAAGUAGAUAAAUUUAGAGGGUUUGAAUUCAGAGUACUAUAAUAAUUAAGUGACGACAAUUUUCACUGGCCAGUAACACACAUCACCUUAAAUUGGUAUAUAUAAUAAUGCGAUUUAUAUAUUAUAUUUUUGAAGACUUGACAAAGUUUUCAGAUCAGAAAAAUAAUUACUAAAUUUACAAGUGUAUCUUAAAUAUUGAUGUAUAUUCUUAUGAAAUGUCACUCAUGGCAACCACAAGCCACCACCUAUAGUCAUGUUAUGGCCUAUAAAUAAAGGCACAUUUUCUUCCUAGCAAAGCACAUCAACUUCAAACACAUAGCUCUAAAAAUGAAUUCCCUUAGUCUCAUAGCAACAGCUCUAUGCUGUGUAGUUGUUGUGUUUGGAGGACUACCCUUCUCUUCAAAUGCACAGCUUAGUCCAGACUUUUACGCCAAAACAUGUCCCCAAUUGCAAUCUAUUGUGUUUCAAAUCUUAGAGAAGGUUUCUAAGACUGAUUCUCGAAUGCCUGCGAGUAUCAUUAGGCUUCACUUUCAUGAUUGUUUCGUUCAAGUAUGUAUACCUAUUAUUAUUCAGUCUUAGAAACCAAGUUAUUGUUUUUCACUUUGUGUUUAUGAUAAUGAAAAAUAAUCAGUAGUUCAUAGAGUUAACAUUUUCUCCUUAAUUUAAGCAAAAUGACUUAAUAUGACGAUUUAUGAUUGAAUCAGGGUUGUGAUGCAUCAGUUUUGUUGAAUAAAACUUCUACUAUUGCGAGUGAACAAGAUGCUGGUCCAAAUAUAAACUCCUUAAGAAGAUUGGAUGUUAUCAAUCAGAUUAAAACUGAGGUGGAAAAAGUUUGUCCUAAUAAAGUUUCUUGUGCUGAUAUUCUCACACUUGCAGCUGGAGUAUCUUCAGUUCUGGUAAAUAUGUUAAAACCCAAUUAUGUUUUAGUAAUUUUACAUAAUAUCAUAAUAACAUAAUAAUGGUUGAAUCAACUUCUUUUAUUUAUUUAUUUAUUGUAUUCACAGAGUGGGGGUCCAGGUUGGAUCGUUCCAUUGGGAAGAAGGGAUAGUCUAACAGCAAAUCAAUCCCUUGCCAAUAGAAAUCUUCCAGGUCCCAGCUCCAGUCUAGAUCAACUUAAAUCUUCCUUUGCUGCUCAAGGACUCAACACGGUUGAUCUAGUAGCACUCUCAGGUAUGCAAAUACAUGCACCAUUUCCUAAAUAAUAAUAAUAAUAUAAUUUUCUAUCAAACCAUGAUAUUUAGAUAAGAUGAUAUGAGCCUCCUUAAUUUUAAAUUUGAAUUUAAUCAUGUACCAUAGUGAUAUUAAAAUUUAUCGCGACUUUAGAUUUCACAUGACUCGGAUAAAAAAAAAAAAAAAAAAGGACAAACUGCAUCCAUUAACACUCAAAUAAGUAUUUUUAAAAGUAAUUAAAUCUUGAUGAGGAAUUGUUUGAACUAGGAUUCAAACUCGAAUUCUUCCAAAAAAAAUGUGUAUCUUACUAGAUCUUAUUAAUCCCUAGAGCUAUAUAGCACAUGAUGUAGGAGUAUAUGAUUUACUUGAAUGGUUCAAUUUCAGGUGCCCAUACAUUAGGAAGAGCACGUUGUCUUUUCAUACUUGAUCGAUUAUACGACUUCGACAAUACUGGCAAACCUGAUCCAACUCUUGACCCAACAUACUUAAAACAGUUGCAAAAACAAUGUCCUCAAAAUGGACCUGGAAAUAACGUUGUCAAUUUUGAUCCAACAACUCCCGAUAAAUUCGACAAGAACUACUACAACAAUCUUCAAGGUAAAAAGGGUUUGCUUCAAAGUGACCAAGAAUUGUUCUCAACACCGGGUGCAGAUACCAUUAGCAUUGUCAACAACUUUGGAAACAACCAAAAUGUUUUCUUCCAGAACUUUAUAAAUUCAAUGAUUAAAAUGGGUAAUAUUGGCGUGCUUACUGGAAAGAAAGGAGAAAUUAGAAAGCAGUGCAAUUUUGUUAACAAGAAAUCUUCUGAAUUGGAUCUUGCUAGUGUGACCUCAGAAUCAAUGGAGGGGGAUAUGGUUAGUUCAAUCUAAAUGAAUGUGGGUUACUUUAGUUGAAAUGCAUGUGGUGAUUGGAAUUCACUAAUAAAGAAAAGUGCUAGCUAGGCACAUCUGUGCCUUGAUGUGUAUGUUAUGUGCUUUAUGUGUGCAAGAUAAUCUUUUUUUUUUCUAAGUAAUUUUCAUUAUAUUAUAGUAUAUCCUCUCUUUCCGUCACAAGUUAUGUCUUUGUUUUUUUCAACAUUUCCCAUUAUUAGAUGAUCAUCCUCUUGCAUCCAUAGGGUUGAAUUAGGUUCACUUGCAUAAUCAAUUAACACUCGGCCUACAUAACAAUCCAUUACAAACUCAACAUGACAGUACACUUAAUAUAAAUAUCAAGAAUGCAUUGUGGAGAGCAAAAGUGAAUGGAACACAAUCUAUAGCACACAUGAUUCAACAAAAUAACUUAACUUUCCAACAUUACCUAAUAUAUAUAUAAAUUAUUUUGGAACAGACACAUCAUAUAAAUAUGUGUAAAACAACAACACAAGGAAGUUACUCAAAGUUUACUUUUAAACAAGAUUUAAGUAUGCAUUUGUUGAAUUCAUUAUAUUUUACCUUUUAUGUAAAUAUUUACCCAAUUGCAUUAAUAGAAAUCAGUUCCCAAAUUGUUCAGUUAAUUAAGUUCAAAAGCAAUUAUGAAAUCAAAAUGGGAUUGAAUCAACAAAAAACUAAAACUUAACAAUUAAACUAGAAUCAACAAAAACUAAAACUCACAAAAUAUACGAAAAAUGAGUAGAAUAUAACCUAGAUGGGAUUGCAACUAAUCAGCCUUUUCCAAUGGUUCCACUCUAGCUUCAUCGGAAACAUAUACCCAACCCAUUGCGGCUGUCUACGUCAUUACCUGAAAUAGUGUGAGUUGAGUGACUGGUUGGGCUUUUGUGCUUGCUUCCCACACUUGACUUCCUAGUUCAUCAGAUGUUAUCUUUUCCUUGAUCAUGUCAACAAAAGAUUUACAACCUUAGUGAUGAUGUAAAUAACUUCCAAAAACAAGUUUUCUCCAGAAACAUCAAUCAAAGAAAAAGAAUGACUCUGAUCAUCAAGGAAAAGAUCAACAUCUGACGAACUAGGAGAGUCAAGUGUGGGGGAAGCAUGCACGGAAGCACCACCAGUCAAUCAAGUCGCACUAUUUUAGCUAAUGACAAUCAUGAUGGUUUCCAAACUGAAAAAGAAUGAUGAGAAGCAAUGACAUUGGCGAGGAAGAAGAUCGGGCUGAAUGAAAUAGCCUUGUAAUUUUCUCUCUUUUAUAAUACUUGAUUUUGUUUUGUUUGUUUGUAACAAUACAUGCCUUUUAAUAAAGUUUGUCUUCCUAUAUAGAAGACCGGAGUUUUUGCCCAACUAUGGAUGAUAUAUGGUAACAUUUCAGAUUUCAUUUAUAAUGAAUGGCAACACAUACCUCCUUGCAUUGAGUAGGGGUAACAUUUUCUGCUAAAUAUUUAUGCUCAUUAAAGACAAGUUUUCCAUGAUGGACUUUUUCAUCACUACUUGCAUCUCUAUAUGGGCUAAAUGUACUGCUUUCGAUGCUCAAAAAAAUAAAAUAAAAAUUACCGUCUUCAUCCCUAAUUAUAAAACCCUUUUGAAAAAAAAAAUUAUUUUUUUAUAAGACCAUUUUAGUAUUUCCAAAAUACAUUAGUUAAUUCUUUACCAACAUACACUUAUUUAUUUUACAUCUUUUUAUUCAAUCAACAUUAAAUGUUAUGUUGAAAACAUACACCAACUCUCCCUCUUAAAUGAUAAAAUUGUAAAAACAGUAGUAAUUACAAACAAAUUUAGGGCCCUAUAAUUAUGGACAGAGGUAGUUUUAAAUUUGACUUUUGAAUGUGUGUAAAUAUUAUCAAAUUGUCCUUUGUUUAAAUGUAUUAAAUUUGACUUUUUAUAUUUCAAGACAAAGUUAGUAGUAUUAAUUAAAGAUAUAUUAAAGAAAAAUAAUAAAUAAAUCUAAUAAUUUGAAAACGGAUUUAUAUUUAGAGAUAAUUUUUUAGUCAAAUAAGUGCUUCGAUAUAGAAAGGAAGGAAGUAUUACAUAUGUUUCUUUCCAUGGUACCUGGAGACAAACCAUGUAAUGCUCAUCAACUGCCUUCACAAUUUGGUUGCUAGCAAUUACAGUACAUAUUGGUUCCCCAUAAGAGUGUCACAAAACCCAAUUAUUUACCGUUAACUCCCCUAUAUUAUGAGUAAUGAUAUUAUUACUAGUAUUUUGUGAUAACUUUCUUCAUUUCUCUUCUUAUUAUUGGACAAAAGAAAAAGAGACAAAGAUAGAGAGUAUUAAUUAUAGGCCAAUUCUAUGUGCAUAAAUGAGACAUACACAAGUUUUUUUUUUUUAUUCUGUUUGUUGAUAAAUCAAGAGUAUGUACAUGCAUCAAAUUAGUUAUAAGACAUCCUAACUACACUGACACCCCAAACAACGAAAAAUAAUUAGCAAACAUACUCAUAAUAUCACACACACAAGUUUGUCAUUUUCUCACUUAAUGAGGAUGAGCAUAAUGACAAUAAAUAAGAUGAAAAUAAUGACAAUAAUUAAGAGCAUUCUUGUUGGUUUUUUGAAACCAAUUAUACAUUACCAACAACAUGAUGGGAACAAGAAAGAAAUACAUUAUGUUUUCACUCACUUUACACUAACUGUUGGUGAUCCAUGUACAAGGAAUGUAUCUUAAAGUUGGUAAAUUUAUGUAACAUUGCGUAUCCAAUUUUUUUUCUUCUUGUGAACACAACAUUAUGCAUCCUAAUUAGUAACAAGAAUAUAAUUAAUUUAUAUACUAUUAACCAUUCAAUAAAAAUGCUUGCUAAAGAAUGGCGACUUACGUGCAUCAAAGAGAACGAGGAAGAGGAUACACACGCCAACUAGUGAUUUCUUCUCCAUGGCUUAGUGAAUUCAAAAAGGCUUCAAAGAGAAAAUUAUUGAGAGAAUUUCUAAUAUGGUUAACGAUUGAAAAUCACACAUCUCCUAUCUCCUAUACAUAUACAUUUCACAAUUAAUAGAAUGCCUAAUUAGACAUGUUAUGUCUCCUUCUCCUUUCAAAAAAAAAAUGUUAUGUCUCCUUUUCAACAAACUUUACAUGAGACAUUAAUUGACAAUUAUUUUAUCAUGUACAAUACUUUUUUUUUUUGAAGAAUCAUGUACAAUACUUAAUACCAUUAUUUUAACCAUUGACAAUUGUACAUUAACGCAUUCAUUUAUUUUAAUUUAUUCCAUUAAAAAGUUCUCGGUAAAAUUAUAUUUUUAAUCUCUUAACUUAAUUUCAGGUAACAGUUUGGUCCUUUAUAUAUUUUUCAUUUCAAUUUGGUCAUUUUUGUCCAUUUUCGUAUGAAUUUUUAAGCUCAAAAUUCAUGAUUUUAUUUUCUUAUGGUCUUUCAGUCUUCAAAUCUAUGAUCCUCGUCUAUGUUUGCAUAAAAAUAUAAGAUUUGAAGUUUGAAAAUGUAUAUAAAAAUGGACAAAAAGAACCAAAUUGAAAUGAAAAAAAAGAUAAAGGACCAAACUGUUACCAAAAUUUAAAUUAAGGGACUAAAUUAAAAUGUAAUUUUGCCAAAGUUCCAUUUGACCGUAACCAUUUUGAAGAUUUAUUUCAUUAUUAAAAGGUAGAAAAAAAAAAAAAAACAUUUCCAUUUCAUCCUUCCUUGAUUUAUGGCAAAGCCAACAUGCAUGAAAAAGUAGAUCACAAAUUACACCGGUAAUUAUAAUAAAAAAAAUAUGCAAUAUAAUUUAUUUUUGAAAUAAAAAAAAUUAUAAUUUAGAAAGAAAAAAAAAAUAAUGAAAGAAGUUUUUUCUUUUUUAAGAAAAUAUAAUGAAUGUAGUUAUCACGCUAUUAACAGACAAAUGUUUGCUACCGAUAAAUAUUAAAAGAAAAUUGAGACAACUAUUUGUCACUAAUACAUAAAUAAAAAACACAACAAACAUUUAUUAGGGAAGGCUAUACAAAAUUCACAUGACAUUAGUUGUAAUUUAAAUUGGACCACUGACGCGCAGUACGGAAGCGUAGAUUAGCAAGCGUUAAAUAAGGUGUUGCUAACCGGUGCCCCCGAGGCACCGGUUGAAGGAGCAAUAAAUUGAUCAGUUCUAUUUAUUUUAUCUCAAUUAAUAUGAGAAAUAAUAAACCAAUUAAUUAAAAUUGUAUUUAAUACUCUCUUAUGGAUUUGUAUGGGUAUCUUGUAAUCUUUUGUUUUUCAACUUUUUGGAUUUGUUCUCGUUUUGGCUUUGGUUGUAGGUGCCUGUUGUUUGUAACAGACGUUGGGUGAUUCAUCAUUUUAGCACACCUUGUGCGGGGUGAAUUACCUUUUUACAUUAACCUAGAUUGAACGUAAGUAAACUGAAUUUACAAACUUAUUUUACAUCAACCUAGAUUAAACGUAAGUAAACUGAAUUUACAUUAACCUAGAUUGAACGUAAGUAAACUUAAUUUACAUUAACCUAGAUUGAACGUAAGUAAAUUUAAUUUACAUUAACCUAGAUUGAACGUAAGUAAACUUAAUUUACAUUAACCUAGAUUGAACGUAAGUAAACGUAAGUAAACUGAAUUUACACUAACAUCUUAUAUACAUACGUAAACUAAAUUUACAUUAACCUAAAUUGAACAUAAGUAAACUUAAUUUACAUUAACCUAGAUUGAACGUAAGUAAACUGAAUUUACACUAAUCUAAAUUGAACAUACGUAAACUUGAAUUUACAUUAACCUACAUACGUAAACUACACUAACCCCUUUUAUAUACAUACACGUAAACUUAAUUUACACUAACCUCUCACUUAAAAUCAAAUUGGCUGACAGACAUAUCUCAUACCAAAACAAACAAUAAACAAAUAGAAACUCAUCGAAAAUGAAAUUCAUGAAAUUCACUAACCUUUAUGAAUAUAGUACAGAUCAAUAACAAAGAUGUUGAUUCAGAUAUUGGUUGCACAUCUAUGGUGAUUUGUGGAUGAAAGGGGGUAAGGGUUCAAAAUGAUCAUAAAAGAUGGGUUUUUAAAAAUUUACAUGAAGAGGGCAAUUUUGGUAUUAUUGUAAAAUUUUAAAUAAAUUUGGGUGUAACUUGUUUUUUUUUGGGUGUGACUAGCACCGGUCCUCUCUUAAAGGCACAACAACUAUUAUAUAAUUUUGAGAGUUGAUCAAUUAAUAUCCUGUGAAAUAGAAAUAUAAUAUUAUUUGAAUUCUUCUUGUAAAUUUUCCUCAUAACAAUAUUGUUUUUUCCCGUGAAUUUUUUUUUGCACCAUUUUUUUUCGUUCCGUGAAUUUUACUCAGCAUAUUGUCUUCUUUCAUUUUUUUUUUUUAAUUAAAAGUUGUUGAAAUAAUUAAACAAAGACAAGAUAUUUUAAAGUCCAAAAUAAAUUGGCAAUUUGAAAGAUAAAACAUAUUCAGAUAAGAUAUCAAAUACAAAAUCAUUAAAUGUGUAAUUAAAUUCUCUUCAAAACAAAAAAUUGCAUCUUUUAGAGAAUAUUGAUCACAGCUUUUAUUAAUUUUAAUUAGUUACAUAUUAUUCCUCACUUUAAUUAAGAUAGAUAAGUAGAAUCUAUAAAUUUAUUGCUUCUUAACCAGUGUCCCCGGACACUAGAUAGCAUUACCCUAAUUGUGUUUUAACCCAUUGACAAUUUUACAUGAACUCAUUUAUUUAUUUUAAUUCAUUCCAUUAAAAUAUUCAUUAAACCGUAACCAUUCAUUUUGAAGAUAUAUUCCAUUAUUAAAUAGGUAAAAAUACAUUCCCACUUCAUCCUCCCUUGAUUUGUGGCAAAUCCAACCUGCAUGAAAAAAUAUAUCAGAAAUUAUACUAUUAAUUAUAAUAAAAAAAAUUAUUAAACACUCGGCUUGCCACUCCUUUUGUGAGAACAUCAGCUAAUUGCAAUUCUGAUCAUAUACAAAGGGAAAUGAAAUUAUUCCUGCUUCAAGCUUCAAGCUAAGUUACAUAUGCAUCAGCAGUACAAGCACACAUUCGCAACAAAUUUUCAAAAUUCCAAGGGAAACCUGAUCUAACCAUUAUAUACUCAAGGAAAUUCCAACUGAGAGAGUCGUAGACCUUUUCGAAAUCCACCUUAAAGAUGAGGUACUCCUUCUUAGUUUUUCUAGCAACAUCAAUAACCUCAUUCACCGCUACCACCCCAUCAACCAAUUGACGCCCCUUAAUAAAAGCAUAUUGGUUAGCAGAGAUAAGUUUAUCCAUGACAUCUGCUUUUUUGAUAGCUAAUAACUUACUAUGUUCUCUAAAUAUUGAACUUCAACAUAUAUUUUUCCUUUGGUUGCAGGGCCAUAUGAAAUUUCAUUCUAAUGUCGGAGUAAAAUUAGCAAAUGCCUAUAAGAUGCAUAAGAAAAUUUGAAAAUAGGCCUGAUUUUGUGUAUCCAAAUUCCAACUCUCCUCCAAAUUUUUAAUCACCUUUUUUUUCGAGGAAUAGGCAUAGCAUACACUUAUGUUACAUUGCUGAAUUAAGAUGUGAAAUGUAAAAAUAUUAUGUUGUUAUUGUUUAAUAAUUGAUCAAUCAAAUUAUAGAUUACAAUAAGUAACAUAUGUAGUAUUAUACGUAUAUGACACUUCCAUACACACACAUAUAAUAUUCCUCAAACAUAGGGGUUAUUAUUGGUAUUUGAUUUAAAUCUAAAGUUUAAUAUUCCUCAAACAUAAGGGUUGUACGUAUUUGGGUAUUUGCUAUUUUUAACACGUUGACCAUAACUGCGUUGUUACCUAUGACAUGUAGAUAACUUAUAUUUGUAUUCAUGCAAAUUUUGUAUCGUAAUAGUAUCAAACAAUAUAUAUAUUUAUUAGAUUACAAAUUCUUUAUUCAUAUAUUUCGUCCUUGCAUGCGUCUAUUGGAUCCAUUUAACAAUGUUGUCUAAGGCACCAACAACGGAAGUCAUCCCAGCACCUUCCACUAAAUGCGUGCUGUUUGUUCUUGCAAUAUUUGUUACAACGACUACGCAGGAAGAACGGAAUGCAUGGUCCCUUGAAUGUAGCAGAUAAUUUCUCAUUACAAUAUGUUGCUUCGAUCACCACAAUCUCCUCUGCAUCAAAGUACCAAAUUGAAUAUUAAUUGGAUAACAUAUUUAACUUUGAGAAAUGAUAUUUGUACAACCAUUUUUGCAUAACUUUUGUACAAACUUUCUCUCUCAUACUCACAUUAUCUUCUUAUUCUCUCUCUUCCUUUUUCCCUCUCCAUUGUUUUUGAUCAAUAAGAAGAAAGAAAAAUAAAUUGUCAUAAAGGUUGAACCAAAUGAUUGUUCAAAUAUCAUUGCUAUUUAACUUUUUGAUAAAUAUACAAGAUGGACUAUACUUUUUUAAGUCAAAUCAAAUGAGUAUAACUCAUAGUAUGAACAAUAUAUAAAGUGGUAAACAAUGAAUUGAGCUACAAUAAUAACAUGCCCUUGUUAUUUACAAUUGGAUGUGUGAAAAAAAUUAUAUAUGAGUAAGCGUUUAGAUUUAUAUACAAUACAAUAAAUCAAAAUUUCUAUUAUUGUUAUAAAAAAAUAAAUUAGUAAAUGUUUAUUAGAGAUAGAAAAUUUUAUUUAUCUCUUAUUUUAAUAUCUUUACUUUUCACUUUAAUUAUUUUUCUCUAAUCAUUUUAGCGAUCACCAUCAAAACAUCGUCAAAAGAUAUAUAUCAUAUACUACUUUAAUUGUUUUUCUCUAAUCUUUCUAGUAUCUAAUUAAGAACCACGCAUGUCUUUUUUUUUAUUAAGGAUCGUCGCAUGUAUUUUAAACACAAAUAUUUUGUGAACAACCGAAUUCUUAUACACGCAUUUGACACUCCAUUACAUUAAUUUAAUAAUUAAAAAUAAUUUUAUUUAUAUUUGAAAAACUAUUUUUCUAAAUAUUUUUAUUUAUUUACUAUUAUUAUUAGUAAGGGUGGGAAGUGAUCGGCCAACGAAGUUCUACCACCGCCUGAUGUGGGGUUACCAUAGUUCAACUGCAACCCACCGUAUGGUGACCAAACUCUACCUUUGGUCGAUCAGUAUCAUCCACCACAUAUGGUGGGGGUGCCAAAUGGAUGAAUGACAAAAAGAGUGAUCCUUGUAAAAGGAAUAUAUCUCAAAAAGUUGGUGAAUUUACGUAACAUUGUGUGUCUAAUUUUUUUUAUGAACACGACAUUAUGCAUCAUGAUUAGUAACAAUCCUAAACAAGGAUAUAAUUAAUUAAAAUACUACAAACCAUGCAAUAAAAAUGUAUGCUAAUGAAUGAUGUCUUACGUGCAACAAAGAGAACGAGGAAGAGGAAGCACAAGACAACUAGUGAUUUCUUUUCCAUGGCUUAGCGAUGAGUUAUAAUUUGUUAAAAGGUUUCAAAGAGAAAAUUAGCUCUAUCCCUAUAAUAAACAUUUACCUUCCUUCAAAUUGAAAGUACACGUGGCAUCUUCAUAUUUUUCAUCUCAUUUAAUAUUUUAUUAUCAACCAAUCAAAAUGGAUUAUGACACAUUUAUUUUAUAUCAACCAAUAAAAAAAAAGAUCAUGACUCAUUUGUGUAUAUCAACCAAUAAAAUUAGCUCCAUGCGCUUACUACAGGAUCAUACACACUUUGUCUGCUCUUAAACAAUUCUUGAAAAGUUUUUUUUUUUUUUUUGAAGAAGCUAAAUUAGCACAUCUAAAUUGACACCAGAGGGAAUCAAACAUGCCACUCAAGUUGGUGCAUGUAUAUCAUAAAUUCUCAAUUUGAAUAAAGACUCAUUAAACACUCGGCUUGCCACUCCUUUUGUGAGAACAUCGGCUAAUUGCAAUUCUGAUCAUACAAAGGGAAAUGAAAUUAUUCAUGCUUCAAGCUUCAAGCUAAGUUACAUAUGCAUCAGCAGUACAAGCACGCAUACGCAACAAAUUUAGAAUUGAAUUUGAAAUAUUUCAAUUCCACAAGAUGAUGACAAUUUACUAAAAAAAACAUGAUGAUGACCAUGCAAUGUGCAUAGUGUUACCUUUAAUGGGAGUGUAGAUUUAAUAAGAUGAUGACAAUGCAAUAUCGUUGUUAAAAUUCUGAUCAGAAUCCUACGAUUUUGUGAUUUUUCGAAUCCUGGGUAGAAUCCUAAAUUUUGCAAAAUCUAUUUGUAAUCGUUUAUGUUUAAGCGAUUUUACGAUUUUGAAUUUGUGGGUUUGUAGGCUUGUAACAUAACCAGACUUUCGAAGAUGUUCUACAUUAUAAAUGUCACAGAUAGAAUCAAGCUUUGAAGUAAAGUCCCCAUGUUUUCCACUCUAAUUUGGAAAACACUUUCAACUGAAUGUGAAUCAAGGACUUCAAUAUAGUUGCCUCACGAUCGUGACUAACUAAAUGAGUAUGCAUGCAAUUUUUGGAGCUAUCGUACAUUGUAUUUUUCAUUUGGAAUAAAUGCACCAGCCGUUGGUUUUAGUAGAACAAGUUUUGCAUACACGGCGAAAAAUUCUCAAAAGCAAUUGCCACUAGAAAUUGGUGUGUCAUUGAUUUUUCAGAUUUAGACUGAGUGACUCACUUAAUGAGGAUGAACACAAUGACGAUAAUUAAGAACCUGCUUAUUGGUUGUUGCAAACCAACUGUACAUUAUCAACAAGUUUUUUUGUAUGCAUGUUUGUUACCUUGUAAUUUUCUAUUACAACCCAACAACCUAGUGGAAAUGAGAAAGGAAUACAUGAAGCCUUCACACACUUGACACUAAUAGUUGGUGAUGUAACAAGGUUGAAAUAUUUAUUGUCUCACACUUAUUUCACUAAUCUUUUGAACUUGCCACGGUUAUAUCUACAUAAUCAUAUGAGGAGCGUAUGGUUAGCUUAAUUUAAUAAAUAAAUGAGGACUUGCAAUGCAAUUAAAAUGUUGUGGUUGCAAGUCACUAAUAAAGAACAAAUAAGCACAUUCGUGUCAUGUGUUAUGUGCUUUGUUGUGUGUGUAAGAGAAUCUUCUUUGAUGUAGUACUGUCCUCUCAAUCUCUCUACCAUUUGCUCAAUUUGUUUUUUUAAAACGGCAAGUUAAAGGGAAAUCCAAGGCUUUAAUAAACUGAUCAGAAGCACAACUUUAGUAACAUCUUUUAUAAUGACUUGGUAAUUUUGUUUAAAAUUUACGUUCAUGUGAACCAAUGUUUUAAGGAUAUUCUGUAAGAAUUUUAAAUUAUUUAUUAUAAAAAAUCAUUAAUAACAUUAACAUUUGUAUUUAUAUAUUCCAUCCGUUUCAAAUUAUAUGUCAUUCUAACAAAAUUUGUUUGUUCUAAAUUAUAUGUCACUUUACAAUAUCAAGGAAUCAUUAAUGUUUAUUUUUUUAUUAUACCCGUUACUAUUUAUAUUACUUUAUCUUUUCUAAUUCUUUUAAUUUAUGUUUUCUAUCAUAAUGAAGAAUAUUUUUGUAAAACAACUCACAAUUACUCUCUUCUAUACAGCAUCAACUAUAUUUUUUAAUCUAUAUAAAAUUAUUAUUUUUUACUAAAUUUAUAUGAAAUUGUUAAAGUGACGUAUAAUUUAGAACGAAAGAGUAUUAGUUUAUAAAUAUGAUCAAAAUAAGUGAUAUGAAUAAUAUAUCCUUAUUUAUUAAUGGCUUAAAUGCUCUUUUGGUCUCUUAAGUAUUUAUUUGGUAUCACUUUGGUCCCUUAACUAAUAAAAAGAUUGUUUCAGUACUUUAAUUUAAUUUUUGUUACACUUUUUGGUCCCUUUCGUUAGAGUUGUGAAAAAACUGUUGAGGGGUUAACCCCAAAUGUCUCUGGUGGACUCACAUUAUAGGUGGUCCACCAAAGACCUUAGUAAUACUUUUAACCUUAAUCGUUUGAUAUUUUUUAUAGAAUUUUUUUAUAGAAAAACAACCAUUAAAUCAUACAUGUCUACGAGAUCUAACUAUAUACCACCAACACUUAAUUUAUUUUUUAGCUUUCUUCAUCUCCUUCCCUCAUUCUCUUCUUCAUAUUCAUCAUCACAUACAUACAUUCAUAACAAAACUAAAAAAAAAACCAGAAAAAUCCAUAAAAUAAAUUAAAAACAACCAAAAAAAUCAUAAUCAUAAUAACAAUUCUUUUCACUCAAAAAACAUCACUUUCAUUUAUCUAACAACACAAAUUUUCAAAUCCCAACAACCAAAAUCUCCAAACCCACAAAAUCAUAAUCAUCAUCAUUUUUACAUCAUCAUGUUAAAAAUUCAUACUGCCCUACCACAUAAACCCCAUUUUCGAGCUUGUUAAUCCUCUCUCCUCCAUCAAUUUUCUUCUUUCUUAGCAAGAUCAAAAGAUUGUUGUUGUUGUUGUUUCUUCUCUCCUCCAUUUUCGAGUUUGCCAAUUCUCUCUCCUCCGUCAAUUUUCUUCUUUCUCAGCAAUAUCAAAUGAUUGAGGGAUAUACUUUCUGCAUUUGUUUCUCUAUUAUAUGUAUGGAUCUGUUUAAUGGAUAUGGGUUGCUCGAAAUUGCAGAUCCAAAUGAAGGAGGGAGUAUGUGAAUUGUUGUUUAUGAAAUUUUGGUGGAUAUGUUUAUUGUUGCAUAUUCGAAAUUUCAGAUCUGAAAUUUUGGUGAUUUUUGUUAUUUAUUGUUGUUUAUGAUGGUGGUGGUGAUGAUGUUGUUGAAUUUCUAGAUUUUUUAUGGGUUUUUUGAUGAAGCUUGAUGAUUUUCUAGUUUUUUUUUUGUGUUGUUCAUGUUGUGUUCUUCAUUAUUUUCUUUGAAUGUUUAUGUUAUGUUCUUCAUAUUUUCCAGAAAGGAGAUGAAGGAUUGUAUGGAGAAGAUGAAGGAAAUAAAUAAGUUUUCAACUAAUGUCAAAACGACACGUGUACCACACUUAACGUUUUUUGAAUUUUUUUAACAGAAGAAACCAAAACAGGUAACAGAGAUAAAUAUAAAUUACUGAAACAAUCUUUUUUUUAGUUAAGGGACCAAAGCGAUACCAAAUAAAUACUUAAGGGACUAAAAGAGCAUUUAUGCCUUUAUUAAUUUUAUUAGGUCUGCAGCAACUUAACUUAAUAAUUUCCCUCUAAAAUGCUGCAUUAGGUUAGCAGCAAUUUAACCUAACAAAUUUCAUCUAAAAUAUAGUGCACCAAUUUAACCUAUCAAAUUCCCUCUAAAAUGCAGCAAUCCCUAAUAUUUCUCCUCACUAAUAAGUUUUUCAUUCCUAUCAUGUUGUGUCAUCGUUUGUAUAUAUUUAUUGUUUAUGUAGACUUUUUUUUUUACAAGUUAUUGUACACUUAUUUAAUACGUUUACAAACAAAAUACCCUAAUUUUCAUGCAAACUCGGCUACCAUAAUUUCAAUGCAAAUUCAACUAUAAAUAGCAAACCCAAAAUCGUGUUUCUCUAAAAAAACCAAAACUAUUGUAAAUUACAAACUCUGCUACCCUAAUUUUCUUUUAUAAUACUUUCAGAUUUUAUACAUUUUAUAAAGUGUUUUAUUGUGUCUACUAUGGAUUAUCACCUGUUCUUUUUUUUCACCGUUAUCAAUUAUAUAUUGCAUUUUAUUAUUCGUUUGUCAAUCUCUUAACAAUAAACAUGUGUGAUGCACGGGUCAACUAUCUAGUAGAGUCUUACUAACGAGUGCCCUAAUGACAUUCUUUAAGAAUUCCUAAUUAAGAAACUAUUCAAUAAAAAAAUCUGCUUCAAUUUUCGAUAUAUUGAAGUCAUAUGCUUUCAUAAAAUCUUACUAUUAUCUAAAGUCCUUAAAGAGUACUUUAAGACAUUCUUAACAGUUAACAUUUCCAGAUAUAUCGUUAAACUGCAACAUGUGUAAUGUGUUUAAGAUCUUUCAGGAAAAUUCAUUAGCAUUUCUUUAGAAUCUAGAUGGCUUGUUUUUUACUUUGUUUGGAUUGUUGUGUUGUGUCACCGAAAUAUGCUUUGAUUCUUUGUUUAUAAUUAGAUGGUUAUGUCACCGAGAUAUGCUUGACUUUAUUUAGAUGGCUCUACCUAAUAUUAAUCGCGACAGUGAUGGCUGCAACUGCUAACAGUUGAACAACAAAAACAAGUACUAAUGACAAAGAAGAUAAGACCAUAUUAAUAAAAGAAGACCAAAAUAAAUGUAUUGAGAAAUUAGAAAUCUCAAUGAUAGAUCGACCAACUCAAUUUGCGCACUUUGUGUCCGACCAUUGGAAACUACACCUUAUUUUAAUGCAACACACUUAUGCUUUGUUAAAUAGUCCUAUUUUAGCUUGAAAAUUGCAUUUUAAACUUCAAAAAUUUAUCUUCCACAUUCUAAAAUUAUAAUCUCUCCGUCUUAGAAUGGGUAUCGUUUUAGCAAAAAAAUUGUUUUAACAUGAAUUUUAUUUUCAGUUUCAAAUUCAAUAAUAACUUUUUUAUUUUCAAUUGUAUCCUUUAAUUAAUACUAUAUACAUUACUUUCAAAAUAUUAUUUUUUCUUUAAUGAAAAACAAACAAAUAGUUGAUUAUAAUAAUUUGGUAAUAUAAUAUCUUUUUCUUUUAAUUAAUGCAUUUCUUAAUAUGUGCGUAAAAACUUUAAACGACAAUUAUUUACGGAUGGAGUAUUAAUAGUAGUUAAUUGUAGUUCAUCAUCAUGGUAAUUAAAAGGUAAUAAACGAUAAAUAAUUGUCGUUGAAGGUAUUAAAAUAAUUCUAAGGCGCGGGUGAUCAAUUUUUGAAGUUUAAAGAGUAAUGUUCUUUCACUUUUGAAGUGUAUAAAUGAAGUGUUAUAAACAUUUUUUUUCACAUUUUCUUUUUUGUUGAAUGAAGUCGUGAUAGACUCCGUAUUUUUUUUUUUGAAGGAGACUCCGUCUAUAUUGAUAUUUAUACCAAAUAAAAGAGCAAAUGUGUCCCCGUGAGCAUAGCUCAGUUGGUAGGGACAAUGCAUUGUUAUAUGCAGGGGUCGGGGUUCGAACCCCGGACACCCCACUUAUUCACCUUAUAAGGUGAAUUCUAGCCACUAGGUUACCUGACAAAAAAAAAAAAGAGCAAAUGUUAAAAAAAAGGUUUAUGUCAUUUAUAAAGUUAUAAAAACUUUGUACUUUUAAAAGGAAAAUUACAAUGGUUUAAUCUAACGGUUAAAAUAAAAAUGUAUUUUCUCUGUUAAAAUUUAGAAUAUAAUGCAGAGAUGAUCAAGAUCUUAGCAUCAUUUUAGAGCGAGUUAAAAUAAAAUCUACUUAUAUUCUCGAGUUUAAUUAAAUUAGUCUUCUUUAUUUUAUUUUUGUAUCUGGAUCAAUUAUCUUUUAUGCGAAACAUUAAAGAUUAAUCUCUCGAUACAAAUAGAACCGCGAAAAAGAAAUUUAAUAAUAUUGCAAUUUUUAUUUGGUCAAGUAGUAAAUGAAGUGUCCGAAGUUCGAAUUUCGAUCCAUAUAUAUAACAAUGUAUUUCCUUGUCAAUUGACUUAUACUCACGGAAAUAAUAACAAUGCUACAUUCUAUAAAAUCGAAUUCAAAUUCAAAAUCUCUGCUAAAACUUUAAAGAUUUUAUUUUAACCAUUUUAUUUAAAUGUUUAUUGAACGAAGUUUCUCUAUUUUGAACUAGAGCAUCAUCCAUUCACACUGAAUUUACACUAAGAGUAAGUAAAAGACUCAAUUACACUUUUAGCCCCUAUCUUUUCAAAAGUUACGAUUUUGGCGCCCUAAAUAAUUAAAAUACAAAACUUCCCCUAUGUAUUGAAUCUUUGGCCCCCAAGGCCACUUUUGACCCCCUAUCUUUCCACUUUGGGGGCUAAAACUGCCAAAAAUCCAAUACAUAGGGGGCUGUUUUGUAUUUUAAUUAAUUAGGGGGUUAAAAUUCCAACUUUUGAAAAGAUAGGGGACCAAAAGUGCAAUUAAACCUAAGUAAAAAUAGUCCUUUCAAAAAAAAAAAAGUAAAAAUAGUACUUUUAAAUAAAAAAAAAAAAAAAAAAAAUUUACGUACAAAUCGCGCUCGUGCCGCCCACGUGUUUGUUUAACGUGACCAUUUCUUUUGGUUACACGAUGCUAUGGAUUUAUCGGAUGACAAUAAUGUCAAUGUCAAUCGUGGUUGGCGACUUUAAUAUGGGCCCACACAUGAGAGCAGCACUGCCACUUGCAAUUUUUAUUUUUUUUUAUUUUAAGGAACUACCACUUGCAACUUAAUGACUGGAUAAUUUUCUUAUGGAAAACUAUUGGGUAUACCAUUUAAAAUUCAGUUAAAAAAAUAUUCACCAUUCUUAUAUUAUUUGUCAUUUUUUUUUAGUUUUCAUCGGGUCAUAAUUUUUAUUAUUUCAAUUUAUUUUCUUUUUUAUAGCAUAAAUACAUUAUUUAUUAUUCUUUUUCAAUAACAUACCUUUAAUUAUUGUUUUUCAAUAAUCUAUAACUAUUCAUAACUAUAAUCGAUAAAAAUAUUUUAAUAAAUGAUGCACAACUUACUAACAAUAUUUAUUAUUUCUUUAAUAAAUUUGUAAAACGCAAAUGAGACACUUAAAAUGAGACGGAGAGUGCUUCAUUCUUCCCUUAUUAUAAAGUUCUUUAAUAAACAUUAUGAAUAUAAAUAAAAGUUGUUGAAUAAAUUUCUUUGAAACAUGUGUGACUAUUAUUAAAUUACUCAAUUUGUCUUAAAUUAUAAGUCACUUUGGUAAAAAAAAUAUUUUAAAUUAUAAAUUGUUUUACAAUACCAAUGACAUAUUCCUCAAAAAAUACCAAUGAAAUAUUGUUAUUUUUUCGAUUAUACCAUUAAUCAUUUAUUACUUUAUUUUUUAAGAUUAAUUUUGUAAAACAACUCAUAAUAUAUUUUUUCAUACAAAAUUAAUUAUAUCUCCUAAUACGUGUGAAAUAACCAAAACAACUUAUAAUUUAGGACGGAGGAAGUAAUCUUUAUAUAUAAACUUACGUUAAGUUGGACACUAACAUGUUUGUCUCUGUGUUUUUAUUGAUAAAGAAUGAUAAAUUAUUGGAAAGGAAAGUUGAGUGUGUAUUCCUUUUAUAAUUAUAUCUUGAUAUAUAUGCAUUUAAAGAAAAGUAAUAUAUGCUCUUGUAAAAAUUUGUAUAGAAUUUUAUAUUUAACGAAAAACGAAGUACUUAAGAGAGGAGGGAGUACUUAAAUACUUCCUGUAUAUAAUAAAUGUUAUAUAGUUGAUUAUUUCACAAAAUUAAGAUCAAAUGAUAAAUAAAAAAAAUUGGAUUACUAUCACACAUAGUAUUAUUUCACAAAGAAUAUUAUUAUUAUUUUUAAAAUAAAAAAACACACGCUGUUUCUUGCCAAAAGAAAAUGUUUGUUGCUAUAUAUUAUUACAAUUUGCAACCUCAAUACUUUACAAGUCAUGGCCAUUAUUUUCCUUCAAAAAAAAAAAAAAAGUCAUGGCCAUUAUUAAAAUAUAAUUGUCUAGUCUUUAUAAAUAACGGUUUGAUUAAUGUCCAAUCAUACUCAUAACAACAAAAUGAACUCCUUUGGUCUCACGUUGACUGCUCUAUGCUGUGUAGUGGUUGUUCUUGGAGGGUUACCCUUCUCCUCAGAUGCACAACUUGAUCCUUCCUUCUAUAGGGACACUUGUCCAAAGGUUCAUUCCAUUAUUCGUGAAGUCAUAAGGAACGUCUCUAAGACUGAUCCUCGCAUGCUUGCUAGUCUCGUCAGACUUCACUUUCAUGACUGUUUUGUUCUGGUAUAUACUCUCUCCAUAUUCAUUCUUUCCCAUGUCUUUUGUGUCUACUCAUACUCAUGUAUGUAGAACUAGCACCGACAUGUCAAACUAAACAUGUUUUGAUAUUCGUCACUAAUACUAAACAUUUAUACAUAUAAUUAUUUAUAAUAUUUAAGUUUUUCAAAUUGUUACUAAUAUAAACGUGUAGUGUUAGGUCUGAUGUCCAUGUUAAUAUUUGUGUUGGAUAUUUUACUCGUGUAGAAUCACUCAUAGUUCUUUACUUGAAUUGCUUCUAUUUGAUAUAUCUAAUAUUGUUAGUUUUAGUUUUAUAUUGAAUUUAACUUAAUCUAAAAUAUUGAUUUGGGCUAAAGGUUAUAAGAGUAAGAGAUUUGAAAUUUAAAUUCAGACAAAAGAGAAAAAAAAUGAUAUUCAUCUAACUACUAUUAUAAUUAUUGUCCAUUUCGUUGAGCUUGGUAACACAAACUUGUGACUUUAGUUGGGGUAUAAAAGGCACGGAUCCUCUUCUGUGAGGAAUUAAUUGGAGGACAUCCAGUGCUAAAUCUUACCGUUCAUUUUUUUAAAACAAUUUAAAUUGAAUAAUUUAAACAAAAAGUGAGUGGAGGAGAUUCCAUUGGAUGACACUUUUACGGGAGACAAUCCCCACCCGGGUAAUAAGAUGUUGAAAGAGGUCUUUUGACGUGUGCCAAAAUAAAAUAUUGUCCAUUUCGGGAAAAAAUUCUACAAAAUACGUUUAGAGUUUGUUCUAUUGGUCACGUAUAUUGUCCAAAAUAAAAUAUUGUCCAUUUUGGAAAAAAACGCUAUACCAAAUACAAGAUACAUGACCAAUAGAACAACAAUGAUACAAAAGUACAAUCCAAAGUCACACUUGCACUUCCACAACAUGUUUGCAUAAUGGAUCCACUUUUACACUCAACCGUUGAAAUUGGAGAGUUACCUAAAGGGGUAAAUAUGAUUUACUCAUGGUCACUACUACAGUGGAUACAUGUCAUUAUGACAUCAUUUUGGUUUCUUUUCCAUAUUAUUUUGAAGUUCUAACAACAAUUUUUUUAUUACUAGUAAAUAAAUUUUGAUUUUUAAUAUUUGUAUUAUGUUGUCUAUGAUUGUAACAGGGUUGUGAUGCAUCAGUUUUAUUGAACAAAACUGAUACCAUUGUGAGUGAACAAGAAGCUUUCCCAAAUAUCAACUCUCUACGAGGUUUGGAUGUUGUGAAUCAAAUCAAAACAGCAGUGGAAAAGGCUUGUCCUAACACAGUUUCUUGUGCUGAUAUUCUUGCCCUUUCUGCACAAAUUUCCUCAAUUUUGGUAUGCCUCAUCCUAACAUGAUUAAUAACAACUAUCAUUUUAAUUAUUAGUGAUGAUUAAUUAAAUUAAUACAUGUAUGUAUUGACAGGCAGAUGGUCCUAAUUGGAAGGUUCCCUUAGGAAGAAGGGAUGGUUUAACCGCCAACCAAUCGCUCGCUAAUCAAAAUCUUCCGGCUCCAUUCAAUUCGUUGGAUCAACUUAAAUCUGCAUUUGCUGCUCAAGGCCUCAGUACUACUGAUCUAGUUGCUCUCUCAGGUAUGCAAUGUUUUCUAAUUAAAAGUGCUCGAAUCACUUCGUUAUCAUGUAUAUAAUAACAAAUUAUAAGGCUAAUAUAUAUGCUUCAAAUGUAGGUGCUCAUACAUUCGGAAGAGCACGUUGCACUUUCAUCACUGAUCGAUUAUACAACUUCAGCAGUACAGGAAAACCUGAUCCAACUCUUAAUACAACUUAUUUACAAGAAUUACGUAAAAUAUGUCCUAAUGGUGGACCACCAAAUAACCUCGCCAAUUUUGACCCAACGACUCCUGAUAAAUUUGACAAGAACUACUACUCCAAUCUUCAGGGUAAAAAGGGUUUGCUUCAGAGUGACCAAGAGCUUUUCUCGACAUCUGGUGCUGAUACCAUUAGCAUUGUCAACAAGUUCAGUGCUGACAAAAAUGCUUUCUUUGAUAGCUUUGAAGCCGCCAUGAUUAAAAUGGGUAAUAUUGGUGUGCUGACCGGGAAAAAAGGAGAGAUUAGAAAACAUUGCAAUUUUGUUAAUUCAAAAUCAGUUGAACUUGGUCUAGUGAAUGUGGCUUCCACAGAUUCAUCGGGUAUGGUUAGCUCAAUUUAAGUACUUUAGGGUCACUAGUUUCAAAUGUAGUGAUUGGAGACCAUAAAUAAAGAUGUUAUGACUAGGCACAUUUGUGACUUGUGUCACAUAGUUACUAGGUGCUUUGUGAGGGAAGACUUUUUGUAUUUGAAGUAUUUCUUUGGGUUGUGUUCAUAAUCAAAUUUUCUCUAUCUUAUUUUGGACUUGUUUUGGCAAAAAUUUAUGAGUAACAUUAGUAUUUAUCUUAUGUGAAAAUUAUGAUGAUAAAAAAUUGACCAGGGGAGCUUAAAAAUUGACCAGACGAACUUAAAUACAUUUGCCAUUUCCUCUUCAAAAAUAUUGUUGGUUCUCAUUUUUCAAACCCCUCAAGUAGCUAACCAAAUUAUAUGCAUCACUUUCUUACUGCUCUUGAUUGCAACAACUCUCCAAAAAGCAAUAAAUGAUUCGACUACGAGAAAAUCGCGUGGUUCUCACCAAAUUUUUAAAGGAGCACAUGUUCCUUGGAAAAAAGAGUACAUCCAAGGAACCAAGUCCUUGGAAAACAUUUAGUGGAAAUAUUUUUUGAAUUCCAACAUCUAUGAGGAACAAAGUCCUUCGAAAACUGAGAGGCAAUAUUUUUUAAAUUCAACAUAUUGGAAGAACAAAGUCCUCAUAAAUGUCUGGAGAUCUAACCUUUAUAGAGCGUUUUUGUUGCUUUAAGAUGUGUGAUUCUAGGAUUUUUUUUUUAAGAAGUCAAACUAGCCAACCGAAAUUGACAUCGAGAAGAAUUGAAUUUGAGACCUUAAGAGAGCACACUCCACGGUCUUAAGCCAACACCAUCAAAACAACCCAAAUGGGUUUCCAAGAAAUCCUUUCUGAUGAGCAUUUUGAGGACCAAGUGCGUUGGAAACGAGCAUCAAGAAGACACAUUUUGCGCAUCAUAGCACAAGAAACUUUGAAGUCAUUGGAAGUCGCACAACUUUUCUAGGACAUCGUUCCUAGAAAAUAGGUUGUCCAAAAUUUAUCUUUAUAACUACACACUCUCUUCCAUAAUUUCUUCGGUUACAAUUCUCAUUCUUUUCUCCAUUAUUUCAUCUCUUAUUUUUUUUUCAUUUUAUUUCAUUUCUCCUUUUUUAAUCACUAUCUUCAAUCUCUUCAUCGUUUCAUUUCUCCAUGUUUUCUACAUUCUUUCAUUUUACACCGUCUUUUAUCAUUUCUUCAUUCUUUCAUUUCUCUCUCUUUUUUUCCCUUACUUCAUUCAUUUCUCAUUUCUCUUUUUUUUUUUCCUCCUUAAUUCAUUUCUCAUUUGUUUCUAUUCUAUCAUUUCUCCUUUUCCCAUAACAAAAUCACUAUUUCAAUUUAGAUUUUUUCAUUGAAGAUGGGGGAUUUAUUGAUUUUAUCAUUAAAUCAUUUCUAAUUAAAUGCAAAUCAAUUCAUUCAGAAUGAUUUUUUAGUUAUUUUAAUUUGGGUUUUUCUAUCAUGUGCAACUUUUUUCUCUAUUGUAUUUAUAUUUGAUAAAUGCCCGAAAACAAAGUGCAAUAAGACUUCUAGAGGAAUGGGAAUCAUCUUGAAGUUUGGUUAUGGUAGUUGUUGUAGAUUGCAUGGUUAUGUAAUACAAUCUCUAAAGUAGCUUAGCCCUAACCAAUCAAUCUUUAAGCUCCAAUUGUCCUAUAUAAAAAUUUGAAAUCUAAAAAUGUUAGAACAUUUGAGAAUCAAAGCAUAAUAUAGCACAUCAAUCCUUAGAGACUUUUGGAGUCAUCAACAUCCUUCCAUUCUUUACACACUUGCGAUUGAUCUGCAACAAUGGGCGGAUAGUGUUUUAUGUAGCAAACCUUCACAAUGUGACAUGCCAUUGUACAAUGACUACACACCUUGCGAUUGUUUGAUCUUUGAAUGGAACUACCGCAUCCUCUUCCUUGUGGUUUACGAAAUUCAAUAGAAUUUAUAAGGAUAUAUUGUUAGAGAAAAUUUUGUUGAUGUUAGGUAUAUGAUUCAUAAGAUGAAUAUGAGAUCGAACAAGAUCAAAAUUCUCAUUCAAACCAAAAAGAAGAUCAAAAUGUUUUUAGCUAUGUUUUUUAGUUUGUUUGUAUGCAUUUGAAGACAAUAUAGAGGUUUUUAGAGUGAGUUUCUCAUGGUGUUGGAAACGUUUUGUAAUGUUUUGAUUUUAGUCGUUGUAAUUCAAUUUGUUCCCUAAUUAACUAGACAACUUCUUAUUUGUUUUGAGUCUUUUAUGAUCAAAUUAUGUAGUUGGACGACACCUCAUGGAAGUUAUGGAAGCUAAAGAAUGAAAAACAACAAAGGUUUUAAGACAAGACAAGUUGGAGAAAUUAUGUUCCAAGUUCCAAGAGCAAGUCGAGAAAAAAAAUAGUUAAAGAACGAAGAAAAACGAAAAAAAAUACAUCUGAGCCACGUGACACGAGUAACCCUGUGCACCCUGCACAUGGAAUGCUUAUAAAGGUCAACUGGCCAUGUCUUAAUGCGACCCCCGUGUGCCGAGCAAGAAAAAUAACUUUUUGUUGUUUUUUUCGAUUGCAUGCAGGGGGAAAAUUCUAGUAACCCAGUGCAAACCCAAUGCGAAAAUGCCUAUUUUAAGGCCUUUGUUCACCUAAAAAUAUUCAUUCAGAAACAUGACGGUUUAAAGGCAAACAUGGACAACCAAAGCAUUAAAAAUAAGUUGUUUCCUACCUCUUUCCAUUUGUUAUAUAAUAUGUUUUGUUUUUACUUGAUUAUUUAUUCAGUUACCAUGAGUAAAUAAACACCUUAAGAUUAGGGUUCUAACAUGAAAUUAUAAUUAUUCGUGGGAAUGUUAUAAUGCUUGAUUUCUUUAUUCAAUUAUGAUCUGAGUUAUGCCUAAAAAAAUAUGAUAUGAGUUAUAUUUACUUGAAACCCGUAGACUUUGAAUUGAUCUUAGGUUCAGAUUUAUAGAUUGACAUAUUUCUCUAACUGAAAUCGUUAUUUAUGUAUUUUGCUCAAGAGUCAUUAAAAAACCUAGAGAUUCUUAGUAUUAUGGUUAGGUUCUAAGACACGUGUGCAACUGCAAAUCCUUACCGUGUCAAUAAUACGAUUAUGACGUGUCAUAUGUUUGUUCACAUAUAAUUCCAUUAAAUAGUUUAGUUGCAACAUGACAUUUUGGAGUCAAUUACCUGUGGGAGGAUAAGUCCAUGAAUUAUAUAUUCCUUAGGCUAUAUUUGGUAUGGAACAAUCUAAAAUUUGGAGGGCGAACAAUCUUCGACACACAUGGGGUUAACCAUCGUUUAUAUAGUCUUAAGGUCAUAUUUGAUCGGAAACAUGCAUUAAUCCAAUAAAGAGGUAUAGGGAAUUCAAAUAAUCUUAAUCGUUGUUAAAUCAUUUGAAUUUCUUCACAAAUUAUCUUAAGAGUGUGUUUGGAUGGGGGAAUGUUUUGAGGGAAUGUAUUGUUUUAAGGGAAUUCAAAUACUUUGGGGUGAAUUACAUUGUUUGGAUAAUAAUUUGAAGUAUUUUCAAAAUGAUGGAAAUUUAUGAAGUAUUUUGUUCAAGUUAAAUUUAGAGAAUUUUAAAUGACACCUAAAAGCUAAGAAUUUCAAAUUUCUUUAUUGUUGUUAUUUUUCAUAUUUUGCAUUUUGGUCCUCAAAUUUUCCAAAAAUUUUAAAUUGACCCCAAUAAAUUUCCAAAAAUUGCAAAUUGGUCCCUCAAUUUUUUCGAAAAUUAUAAUUUGACCCCUCAAUUUUUUGAAAUUUACAUUUUGACCCCUAAUUUCAAUUUUCAAAUUUGGCCCAAAAAAAUUAAAAUUUAUAAAAGUUGCCCAAAAAUGAUGACAAUGAAUUUUUUUAUUACUUCAUCCAAACAAAAGAAUUAAGAAAUGAAAUUAAUUUAAUGGAAUCAUUUAAAUUGUCUAGGAUUCUAAAUUCUUUAAAAUUUCUCAAUUACCUCAUCCAAACACACUUUAAAAGUAUUGAAAAUUUCUAAAACGGAUCCAAAAUUUUGCUUAAAGUAAAAAAUUUCACAUUGUAAUUUAGAAAUGCAAAGGAGGAAAUACAAGUAUGUAAUAAAUUAUGGUACAUGUAUUUGUACAUGUUGUAUAGAUUUUUGACAAAUUGACAAACUUAGUACAUAAAGAACAAGUUUGAGUAAUUUAUUUAUAUAUUUACGACUUUAAUGGGAAAAAAAUUGUGAUUUUGUUAUGGACUGAGCUUUGACCAACAUUGUUGGUCCAAUGCAUAGAGGCUCAUUAAUGUGUAAUAUUCUCCAUUCAUGACAAUACAUCAAAUCUCAUGUACGCCUCAUCACAUAGGAGAAAUUCUCAUCAUAUCCUAAUCGUUCAGCUAAUCUCCCGUGCCUUGUGCUGAAUUUCUAGAAAACUUUUAAAAUGUCUCAAACUAUAUAAGUGUGACUUUGCAUGACAUUCGAUGUACAAUUACAUUUGAACAUAUUUUCACAUACUUUUCCUUCCAUAAUUUCAUACUGACUUGAGCAUUGGAGUGCUAACCCUUUUUACAAGUUUCUUCCCCCUCGUACACUGCGCCAGAGAAUAAUUUCCCAUGCACCAUAAAUCUUUCUCCAUUGGUCCUGAUUCUUUGUUGCAUGAGCAUUGUCACCCGAUAACCUUCACUUUGGUCCACUCCGUAUUAUUUGCGUCGUCUAUGGGAACUAUGCAUUGUUUCCCUCGAACUUCCUCAAAUCCACUACCUUAAUUGUUUUCUGCUAUACUUUCCAAUGGACAGAUCUUCUCCAUCUUAGGCUAAAAACAUCAAUUUUGAUACUCCCAACACCAUUGGGACUCCCCAUUCUAUGUUGCCACUAUUGCAAGAUUGUGUUGAUCUUGUUAUGUCUUUUGCGCAUGAAGGAAACACAAACACCAACCUUUCUCUAGUUAUUGAAUGUCGCGUCGCCACCAUUCUUUCUCCAAUUUAUCAAGGUGAAAGUCUCCCCUACCGGAAAGAAUGAGACUCUUCGUGAAUAUAUUGAAAGGUUCACUAAAGAGGAAGUAGAAGUCUGGGGAGUAAAUGACAAAGUUAAAUGCUUCGGCUUUAAAAAUGGCCUAAGGCCCAAUUGCAUGCAUGUAUAGGGGGGAGUUAGGUCUUGAAGUGCUCAAAAAUAUGAGUGAGUUGCUAGUAGAAGCUAAACCCUUCAUUAACUACAAAGAAAAGCUGCUUGUAAAUGAGAUAGUGAAAAAUUAAGAUAACCUAGAAUAUUUGAUAUGUCAUGGACACAUCAAAAUUAAGUUAUAAUUUAGGCAAAAUGCAACAUUGAGUUUUUAAGUUUAAUGUUUGUAACAAUAUAAUUUUUGAGUUUCUCCAAAUAAAAAUGAUUUUAUACUAUGAAGAAAUAUUAAUCCCUCAAAGUCUUUCCUUCUUAAUGCCAUCUAUUUCUUCCAUUUACUUCUUUCUUUUUUCCAAAUCUCUCCAUCUUUUUCUCUCCAAACUUGCAAACAAAGUUGGACCACGAAGAUCCAAAAUUUAAUCUUAAAAUAACUCAUAGCAUACUUUUCGCAUAGAAUUACUUGAGAGGAAAAGUUUACUCAGUUUAUAAAUGGCUUUACCUAAUAUUUUAAGGCGGGAAUAAUCAUUGUACCCUAACAUAAAGCAAAAACGUACUAGUUGAACUAGUAAUAAUGGCAUCGAUCAGUCCUCAUAGAAAAAUCAAAGGUGUCAAAAUUGAAAAAGAAAGCUCUACACAACUUGCCAUCGGAGCUGGGAAAGCACUCUUUGCUUUAAUGCAACAAUUCCAACCUAACUUUAACAGGUUAUAAUUCUCUAAAUUCCUCUAACUUUAACAAAAGUUAAUAUCCUUGUGAUUUUCAAGAGAAAUUCUUAACUUUUUUAUAGUAAAAAGUACAGAGCUCUAAUAUUUAUGAGACUUGUGUUUAUAAUUGAUUUUAAGAUUAGAUUCAACGAAUAUCCUAUUGUGUUUAUGUGGCUGCCUGGCUUUGGUGAGCCUGCUUUAUUCUCUCUUUACUCAGCUUUUGGUGCUAUGUGGGUUUUGGGUGGUUUUUUUGUGUUCUCUUUAUGCCUUUAUAUUGCCUUUUAUUUUAUUGUUUUUAGUUCUACUGUAGUGCAAUUGUUUAUUCAUCUCAUUUUUUAAUCAAAAAAUUAAAUAAUAUUAUGUAAAAGAUUUGUUUUUUUAAAGGAAAAAUAGAGUUGUUGUUAGAAUUAUAAUUUAAAUGAGGGUCUUGCUAACUGUGUCUUGUUAAGGAUUCAAAAAUAAAAACAAUAUCUUUUAUGCCGAUAAAAGCAUUUAUUAGGAUUUUUUUUUGUCAAGUAGCCUAGUGGCUAGAGCUAACACAAUUUAUUGUGGAGAAGUGGGGUAUCCGAGGUUCGAACCACAAUCCCUACACAUAAUAUGCAAUAUUUCUACCAACUGAGCUAAACUCACGGGGAUAUAAAUUGAAGGAUAAAUAAUGAUAUAAAUCGAAGAUAAAUAAGAAUCAUGUAUGCCCUUUGCAAGCACUAAGAUAAUAAAAGUAAUUUUUUAUUAACAAAAGUAUUUUUACGAAUAGCUAAAACAAACUCACCCAAAAUCUUUCCUACGAGUCAUCAUUAUGUUGUCCAAAAUGUUCAUUACAGACUAAAAAUGGCAUGAAUAUAAAGAUAUUUUUGAACAAAUUCGUGCCGCCCACGUGCCUUCUUCAGCAGAACCAUGUCUUGGACAAGAUACAAUGGAUUUCAUGAGUGACAUUGAGCAACAUUAUUUCCCUAAAAAAAAAAAAUUGAGCAACAUUGUUCGUGGCUGGCUUUUAUGGGGUGGACAACUAAGAGUAUUUCUUUGUCUAUAACUUUAAAAUAUAAUAUUUUUUAAAUAAAAUUAUAUUUAUUAUUUGUUUCUAUUUUUGAAUGCUUAACAAAUAUCUUUAAGGGCAUUUUGUUGGUAUGGUACGUAAUUUAUUUGGUCAAUAUUGGUGUGACCAUUUACUACAACCACAAGCUAGCCUUUACUAGGAGUCAUGAGUGGCACAUGCCCAUUUAAUUUGGCUAUCUAUAAAUGUAAGAGCCAUUUAUGAAGAAUCUCAAACUCAAUCUCACAACAAAAAUGAACUCUCUUCGUGCUGUAGCAAUAGCUUUGUGUUUUAUUGUGGCUUUGUUUGGAGUGUUACCUUUCCCUUCCAAUGCACAACUUAAUCCAUCCUUUUAUAGCAAAACUUGUCCAAAUGUUAGUUCCAUUGUCCGGGAAGUCAUAAGAAACGUUUCUAAGACAGAUACUCGUAUGCUUGCAAGUCUUGUUAGGCUUCACUUCCAUGACUGUUUUGUUCAAGUAUGUAUACUUUACCUUCUACUUGUAAAUGAUUUGUAUUAUGCUAAUGUUAUAAUCAUAAUGUAAAUAAUGUAAUCUAUGACUUGAACAGGGUUGUGAUGCAUCAGUUUUGUUGAAUAACACUGCUACUAUUGUCAGUGAACAAGAUGCUUUUCCAAACAGAAACUCAUUGAGAGGUUUGGAUGUUGUGAAUCAAAUCAAAACAGCAGUAGAAAAGGCUUGCCCUAACACAGUUUCUUGUGCUGAUAUUCUUGCUCUUGCUGCUGAAUUAUCAUCUACACUGGUAUAUAUAUGCCUCAUCCUUUAUUAUAUAGUAUUUUUAUCCACCAUUGAAUUUCAAAUGGAAAUUCUUAUUGACUCUUUUUGUUUUGUGAUGUAAUAAAAUAGUCUCAAGGUCCUGAUUGGAAAGUUCCUUUAGGAAGAAGAGAUGGUUUAACAGCAAACCAAUCACUUGCUAAUCAAAAUCUUCCAGCUCCUUUUAACUCAUUAGAUCAACUCAAAGCUGCAUUUGCUUCUCAAGGCCUCAGUACUACUGAUCUAGUUGCACUCUCGGGUAUGUAACAUUUUUAAAGUUUUUGUUUAAAAAUUUCUAAUUAGUAGUAUGUAUGAUUAUUGAUCUAUAUCUGUUUCAAUUGCAGGUGCUCAUACAUUUGGAAGAGCUCAUUGCUCUUUAUUUGUUAGUCGAUUGUACAACUUCAGCAAUACGGGAAGUCCCGAUCCAACUCUUAACGCAACUUACUUACAACAAUUGCGCAAUAUAUGUCCCAAUGGUGGACCUGGAACUCCCCUUGCAAGUUUUGAUCCAACUACUCCUGAUAAAUUUGACAAGAACUAUUACUCUAAUCUUCAAGUGAAAAAAGGUUUGCUUCAAAGUGAUCAAGAGUUGUUCUCAACAUCUGGUGCUGAUACCAUUAGCAUUGUCAACAACUUUGCCACUGAUCAAAAAGCUUUUUUUGAGAGCUUUAAGGCUGCUAUGAUUAAAAUGGGAAAUAUUGGUGUGUUAACCGGGAACCAAGGAGAGAUUAGAAAACAAUGCAACUUUGUUAAUUCAAAAUCAGUAGAACUAGGUCUUGUCAAUGUUGCCUCAACAGAGGAGGGUAUGGUUAGCUCAAUGUAAAUGUAGUGACUGGAGCCAAAUAAUAAAUAAGCUAUAACUAGGCACAUUCAUGGUAUGUGUUACAUAUCCUUAAAAAAAAAAAAAAAAUGGUAUGUGUUACAUAGUUAUUAGGCGUUUGGUGAACAAUUUGUUUUUAUUUGGUACAAGUUUCUUUUUUUAUGUGAAGUACUCCCUCUAUUCCUUUUUAUGGGAUCUUGUAACGAAAAUCACGAGUAUUAACAAAACUUGUUGGAAUAAUAAAUUUGUCACAAAUAUGUAUGACUAUUACUAAAUUACUCUUUGUUAUAAAUAAGCAACAUGCUAUAUUAGUCUAUUAAUUCACUUAUCUAUCUUAACAUAUAUCAUAUUAUUUGUUUAAAUAUAUUCAGAAGAAAUAGUCUUUUAAACAAGAUACAAGUUAUAUCACCCUUUAGAAACCAAGAAACAUACCUAAAAAAUAUACCUACGAUAGGCUACAAAUCAAACUUAAACCUUAAAUGUUUUGACAAAUUAUAUCGGAUCUUGCAAAGCCUAACUCGACUUAACAUAUAUUUACCCCUUAUCACUAUGGAAGAUUUCAUGUGCCUGAGGUCUUCAGGUUUGAUAACAAUGUGGUUGGCUACAUGCGUGUAUAUAUGGAAAUGUUAACUUGUGUCCUUAGAUCACAUUUUUUGGAACUUAAUUAGAGUGGAAAUUUUGUCUAGGAAAUCAUGUCAAUUUAUUCUUCUAGAGAUUGAAAGUUAAUGUUUUGUAAUAAAUAUUUAUCAUUUAUGGAAUCUUUAGCUAAUAUAUAAAUGACUUUAUCGUUAAUAUAAGCGGAUGUCCAUAUAACAAUUGGGUUAAUGAGUCAUAAUAUUAGACCAUGCAUAUUAUAUUGUUUGUUCUCCAAGUUAUCUCUGUAAAUAAAACUCAAAUGUAACCUAAUUAUACACCACAAAAUAAUAAUAAUAAUAGUAACAAUAAAAUAUUUUUUCUCGGAUUAAUCGAUUUUUUGAUCGGAUACCGAGUUUUCAAAAAAGAAGAAAAAAUAAUAAUAAUAAUAAUAAUAAAAUAUUUAUCUCUCUUCUAUCCCUUCCUCCCCUUUCUUUAUUCUUGUUCUUAUUUCCUUAGUUUCAUAACAAUUAAUUUAUUGAUUUAGAAAACAAUUAUACAGAAACACUUUAAUUUAUGAGUGUGCCACAGACGCUUUCAACAUACAUGUUUGUAUAUCGGUUUUGAUGGGCUGUGUCUGACAUAAAAUUGGCGAGCUUUGUAUUUGCAUAUAAAGUGUGCCUCAUUCUUUGGGUUUUAUUUGAGUUUUUAUAUUAAUUUUUUUACCAUUCAAAUAAAAGAAGACCAAAACAACUUGGGUCAUAGUUUUAGUGCAACUUGGUGGCAUAGGAGAUACCAAUUUGCACGGAAAAGUGAUAAGUUCUGUCAAAAAAUAAUUAUUAUUUAAGUCUGGCAGGACCAGGGAGGGAUGAGAAUGAGGGAGAAAUGCUUAUUAUAGAUUAAUGAUCAAAUCAACAACGAAGAAAAGAAAAUGCUUAACAAGAUUAAUUAUUUUCUUUUUACAAACGUUCGAUUAAAUUAUUAAAAAUGUAUACGUUUGGAUCAAAAUUUUAAAAUAAUUUUUGACUGUGCAUUUUGUUAAUCAAAUUAAAUGUUUCAUUAACAUUAUCAUAUUUGUCUUUUUAUAAGAUACAAUGGAUUUCAUUGAGUGACAAUGAGCAACAUCGAUUCGUGUGGUUGGCUUUUAUGGGGUCCACUUAUACGAGUAGCACGAUAUGUAUAGUAGUACUAUUUGGACCUUGUUUUAUUCGGUCAAUUUUCACACCUCAAUGGUAAUAAUGUUCUCACACAUCAACCACAAGCCUUUUCUAGGAGCCAUUCACGACUCAUUGUCCCUUCUUUUUCUAUAAAUAAGUGCUUAUUUUAUACACAUUCUCAGUAUCACUUUCACUUUCACUUUCACAACAAACAAUGAACUCCCUUCGUGCUGUAGCAAUAGCUUUGUGCUGUAUUGUGGUUGUGCUUGGAGGGUUACCCUUCUCUUCAAAUGCACAACUUGAUCCAUCCUUUUACAGGAACACUUGUCCAAAUGUUAGUUCCAUUGUUCGUGAAGUCAUAAGAAGUGUUUCUAAGAAAGAUCCUCGUAUGCUUGGUAGUCUUGUCAGGCUUCACUUUCAUGACUGUUUUGUUCAAGUAUGUAUAAUAUUCAAUCAUUCACUAACUACAUGUUCUAUUUUGCUCAUUGCGUAUGACAUGCUAUAAAUUCUUGAAAUCUUAGUAUACCUAUAAUCCUAUAGUAGUAUGAUCUUCCCAUUUAAGUAGAAUUAGUACAUAGUAAGAUAUAAUAUAAACUAGAACAAGAUCAAAUAUAGCAAAUAAAGAAUAUGUUUAGCAUGUCCUUAUGCUGCCCCUAUAUGUUAUACAAUCCAAAAAUGAAAAAAAAAAAAAAAAUCUUAAUUUUGUGUCUUAAACAUAACUUGUGUUUAAGGGCACAAAUUAACAUUCACUCUGCUCAUUAAGAAAAUAUUAAGUAAUAUAUCUAGCAAAUGAAUUGAGUUGGAAUAGUGACUUUACUUACUUACCCGGCUGAACCAAAUUCUAAAAAUUUGAGGGUUGAAAUAAAUGAAAAAUAGAAUACUAUUAGAUAUAUUUACCCUUUUGUUUUAUUAUUAAAAUAUAAUCAUUCAUUAGUAUGUCCAAUAAUUAUAGUUUAAAGUGUAUGUCUAAUAAUUAUAGUUUAAGGUUUUUUUCCUUUUUAGUGAGAGAUUUUUUUUUUUACUCAUUUAGAAGCAAUGGAGCAAGUUUUUUUUUUCAAUUAGCAAAGACAUUGUAUAAAAAACUAUGGCAUCAACCUUUUAAAUUGUACGGUUGAAGUUAAUUUUUAUUAUGCUAUUGUUAUAAUCAUAAUGUAAAUUAUGUGAUCUAUAUACUGUAACAGGGUUGUGAUGCAUCAGUUUUACUGAACAAAACUGAUACCGUUGUGAGUGAACAAGAUGCUUUUCCAAACAGAAACUCAUUAAGAGGUUUAGAUGUUGUGAAUCAAAUCAAAACAGCUGUGGAAAAGGCUUGUCCUAACACAGUUUCUUGCGCUGAUAUUCUUGCCCUUUCUGCUGAAUUAUCAUCUACACUGGUAUAUAUAUGCCUCAAACUGUACUAUAUAUUUUUCUCAUUUACCAUUGAAUUUUCAAAUCCAAUUAUUAAUUCUGCUUAUUUGUUUUGUGAUGAAAUAAAAUAGGCAGAUGGUCCUGACUGGAAAGUUCCUUUAGGAAGAAGAGAUGGUUUAACAGCAAACCAAUUACUUGCUAAUAAAAAUCUUCCAGCUCCUUUCAAUACUACUGAUCAACUUAAAGCUGCAUUUGCUGCUCAAGGUCUCGAUACUACUGAUCUGGUUGCACUCUCGGGUAUGUAACAUUUUUAAAGUUUUUGUUUAAAAAAAUCUAAUUGGUCGUUACAAUGAUGACGCCAAUGUUACAAUAAUAAUAUAUUUGAUUAUUGAUUUAUAUAUGUUUCUCGAUUUCAGGUGCUCAUACAUUUGGAAGAGCUCAUUGCUCUUUAUUUGUUAGCCGAUUGUACAACUUCAACGGUACAGGAAGUCCGGAUCCAACUCUUAACACAACUUACUUACAACAAUUGCGCACAAUAUGUCCCAAUGGUGGACCUGGCACGAACCUUACCAAUUUCGAUCCAACGACUCCUGAUAAAUUUGACAAGAACUAUUACUCUAAUCUUCAAGUGAAAAAGGGUUUGCUCCAAAGUGAUCAAGAGUUGUUCUCAACAUCUGGUUCAGAUACCAUUAGCAUUGUCAACAAAUUUGCAACCGAUCAAAAAGCUUUUUUUGAGAGCUUUAAGGCUGCUAUGAUCAAAAUGGGAAAUAUUGGUGUGUUAACUGGGAAACAAGGAGAGAUUAGAAAACAAUGCAACUUUGUUAAUUCAAAAUCAGUAGAACUAGGUUUAGUCAAUGUGGCUUCCACAGAUUCAUCAGAUGAGGGUAUGGUUAGCUCAAUGUAAUUGUAGUGAUUGGAAGCAACUAAUAAAUUAAUAAGCUAUAACUAGGCACAUUCAUGGUAUGUGUGAGAUAGUUGUUAGAUGCUUUGUGAGCUAAAAUCGUUUGUAUUUCAUUUGAAGUGUUUCUUUGAGUUGUGAGUUGAUAAUGAUCAUUUUCUGUUUCUUAUUUCGGACUUGCUUUAGCAUUAAUUUUACAAGUUUUAAGUUAAUGGAGUGCAAGACAAAGACAUCUCUUACACUAGAUUUAUCCACUUUGUAUGAUAUUUCCCAUUAAUUUACAUGCUAAUUUUGUAUAAAAAAGUAAUAAGCAAGUAUCUCCAUGGUAUAUAUUCGUAUAUUUUCUAUUACUCAACAAACUUAGUAAAAAAAAAAAAAGGGUCAUUUCAUUUAUCACCGGAUGAUAUUGAACAAUUUAUCAAUUUUACGACUUUAAAAAUCAGUGAUUUGUUCUUACUUUAGGCUCGGUCAUACAAAUACUGAUGUUAUUACCUCUUUUUUUUUUUUUUUUUUUUUUUUUUUGGAAAAAUGAUGUUAUUACCUCUUUUGAAUUAAGUUAUGGAUUCUCCAAUCCACAUAAUUUUAACACAUGACCCCAUAUAUAUGCGCGGCUAAUUUAAUCUCAUCUAAAAAGCAUGAAGAAAUAAGUUAGUAAACAUACCCUUCCAUUUACUUUGACAAAAAAACUCAAGUCUUUCUUUUCAAAUAUGGUGACAUUGGUGGUAUAUACUUAAAUCCCUUAAAAAUUUGAUUUAAGUAAUGUUUAUUUAGUAAAUAUACUUUAUUAAGCAGACUCUCUUUUCAUAAGGUUCAUAAAUUUUAAUAAUUAAAAUAUUAUUUCAUUGUUUAAAUAUGGUGAUGUAUAAUUAUUGAUUGAAAUCUAAUUUAGAAAAUUUUGUUUGAGAGAUGUUAAAUUGAAGAGACGAGUAAGACUUGAUAAGUCACAAACCCAAAUCAUUUUGAUUUGGGAACACACACAUAAGUAAGGAAGAUAAAAGAAAAUAAAUUAAAAACUCCAAAUUGGAUAUGUAUGUUUAAGUGCGUGCGCGUCCAAAUUAUUUUUGUCUAAGAUUAUGUAUUGUGCCCAAACCAAUUAAUGUUGCUCUAAAGAGAUUGAAGGUUUAUUUAUUCCUAUAAGAUUAACUUACUGUUGUGAAUUCGAACUCAAAACUCAUACCAAUACAAACUAUGAUGUGUGGAGCAAAUAAAAGUAGUAAUCAAUAUCAAAGUGAACACAAGCAACAACAAUAAUAACAACAGCUAGAUCUAAUCUAGUAAUCAAAGUGAAAAGCUCAAAACCACAAACAAAAGAUAAAGAGAGAAGAGAAACAAACACACCAAAGAUUGUUGACCCAGUUCGGUCCAACUUGACCUAAUCUGGGGGAGAGGUUGAUCUCUCCAAUCCACUAUCUAAGAGUUCUUACAAAGUGAUACAAAUGGGUUACAAGAAAUUAGCUUAAACAAGCUCACAAAGAACAAAUCUAAUUUCUACCCAUUUUCCCAAUUUCACCAAUGAACAAGAGACUCAAUGAUUUUCACUCACCCAAGGUGUUUACAAUGUUUCCCAACCCAAGAGAACUCUAAUCAAAGACCCUCAACCCUAAAGUUACCUCCUUUGAUUUCCCAAGUUUUCCUCUCUUGAAGUUCUCUCUCUUUCCUCCUUCAAAAAUGAGCUGAAACACUUAAAGAGUACACAGUGAUAGACAAAAUCGCGAUGCGCCAGUGAAAAUCGCGCCACAGUUGAAGCGUGCGACCCAAGGUACGACAACCUUAUCCACAAACCGCGUCACGCCUGCACCAAUCGCACCAUGAUUUGCCUUCAGCAGAAACCAUCCAUUCUGCCACCAAAAUCGCGCCACGCCUCCCAAAAUCACGGCACGAUUUUGGCAUUUCACAACAUCACAAUUUGAAGACAAUUUCAACACUUGUCUUUAGAGCACAAAUUAAGAAAUCAAAGAUGAAAAUAUUUUGUUGGAAAUUGUGCAUUCAAUAUUCUAGAAAUUUAAAAUCUUAUCUUCUCAAGACAUAAUUUACUACUAUAAUUUAAUUUCAUUUUUAAAUUCUUAACUUGUAUCCUAAAGGUACAAGUUAACACUACCCAAAUUAUAAAUGAAUGAUGUAGUAUUUUUGGAACCACUUAAAUGACAAGUCAACACUCCCAAAAUUACCCGAUUUUCAUUUGCUUUUUAAAAAACUGAAAUAUGAGGAAGGUCAUUGUGAGAAUGAUAUGAUUGAUAAACAAAAUCUACUUUGUUUAUAAAUGCUAUUACCUAACAUAUACAGGUGGCGAUAAUCAUUGUAGCAUAAGAUAAAGCAAAACAGGUAAACUAAUAAUGGCAAGAGUAAUGAUAUUUGAACAAAUUUUUUGGUACAGCUUUUGGGACAAUCUUGUUGUGUUCUCUUUUUAUUGGUCAAAAACAAUAUAGAGAGAAAAAGGAAGAGAAAAAAUAAGAAGAUAAUAUGAGUAUGAGAGAGAAGGUUGUACAAAAAUUAUAUAAAAAUGAUUGUACAAAUAUCAUUUCUCUAAUGACAAAGAUAGAUAAGUCCACAAAAAAAUGUCAUAAUGAAGGUGUCGAAUGUCGAAAAAGAAAACUCUAUGAAGACCCAACAAGUUGGGGCGAGCUUUAAUGCAAUACUUCCAGCUAAGGCGGAUCCAUAAAUGUGCAAGAUAGGGCUUCAAAAAAUAUAAAUAAUCGGGGCCGGCUAUAACUUGUGCAAGCAUAAAAACUACAUAUUAGUUCUAAUUUGUUGCUGUUCAACCGUCUCAAAGUAAUACUCUCGUCAUUUCAGAAUAAAUGUUGUUUAUAAAAGUUUUGUAUUAAAAUAAUCGCUGUUAUGCUUUUUCAAUGCAACUUUAAUAAAUUUAUUCUAAGUUUGCUCUCACAUUAAUCUUAUAUGCACAACUUUUAAAUCAUUAUAUUUCACUUUGACAUUAAUGAUUUAAAUGUUAUAUUACUCUUAUAUUAAUCUUAUAAGCAAAAAAUUAUGCAUUUUAGAUUCAUUCAAUUAAUGAUGUAUGUGGGCUUUAUUAUAGACCACAUACAUCAUUCAGUUUAACAUAGUCGAGUAUAAACAAAAACUUGGUUGAGUUUUCUCGAGUUUAACACGUGUUAACUCGGUCAAACUCGCCAAACAUCUCGAUUUUACCAGAAACCGAGUUUACCUCCGAGUUAACACGAUUUCAGCACCUAAAAACGUAAAUUCGUCCGAGUUUACGAGUUAACACUCAAUUUGUGGAACAUUAUCCUCAAUCCCACGUAUUACUCAACUGACUUGAGAAAAAAAAAUGCACUCUUCCCGAUUCAAUUGUCUUAGCCUUCGCUUAAAUUUUCACCAACUAGAAGGACCCUCGCCUAAUCACACAUCAGCCGAUGUCGAUUAAUAAAGUAAUUAGUUUUAGGUUAGGUUUAAACAUAGUCAUAUGCCAAUCUAGCAAGUUAAUUUUCAUAUAUCAAAAUAGUUUUUGGAAAAAUAUACAUUGUUGACAAAUUUCAUAUACACAUAAUUUUUCUUAAUUAUUGUGUAUUAGUGAAGAGAGUUUUUCAUAUAUGGAUAUAUGUGGUAGCGUGUUUGUCCGUUUCAUUAAAAAGUCACCAUUCCCUUUACUAAUUACUUUCCAUUUUAGGAGAAACACUCUUUUAUGGGUCCCACCAAAAACUCUUUUCUUCUCUAUUUAUUUGGUAACCAAACAAAGGAAAUAGUAUACUCCUCUUUUAUCUCCAACCUCUCUCUUUCGUUCUAGUUUCCUAUGGAGCUAAACAAAUAUGCUAAAGUUUGAGGGAGUAAAUGCCAGCAAAUUGAGAUGAAGAUAUUUUGAAUUCUGAACAAAUUCGUGACGACCACGUUCCCGUAUAGACAGAGCAAUUUGAUUUAGGUAAAAAUACAACAAAGGAUUUCAACAUUGAAAAUAAGAAACUUCGAUGGUGAUUUGCCAUCUUUGUGGUCCACACAUGAGAGACGUGACACUAUAGCUAGUACAACUAUUUGUAUUUACACGUUACUCCCUCCGUCCCAAAUUGUACGACGUUUUCAGACAUAUUAAAAAAUACAAUUAAUAUUGUCUGGAAAAGAGAUAUUAUGAGUUGUUUUACAAAAUUGUCCUUAAUAAAUAAUAUGGGAAAGAUAAAUGAAAGAAUUGAAAGAAGAGAGGGUAAUAAAUAAUUAAGAUUAUAACAGAAAAAGUAACAUUAAUGUUGUAUUGGUAUUGUAAAGUGACAUAUAAUUUAAGUUAAAUUUUUUUCCCUAAAGCGACAUACAAUUUGGGACGGAGGGAGUAGUUUUUAGGUCAAUAGUUACACCUUAAACCCUUAAUAAUUGCUAGGCAAUGUUCUCACCGUUCAUUGCACAACAAGACUUUAUUACUAGCCAUUAUAUUUGUAUGUCUAUAAAUAAAUGCUCACAAUAAAUUAUAAGCACAUUCUCACUCUUCAAAACAAUGAACUCCUUAGCAACUUCUAUGUGGUGUGUUGUGCUUUUGGUUGUGCUUGGAGGACUACCCUUUUCCUCAGAUGCACAACUUAGUCCCACUUUUUACAGCAAAACUUGUCCAACUGUUAGUUCCAUUGUUAGCAAUGUAUUAACAAAUGUUUCUAAGACAGAUCAACGCAUGCUUGCUAGCCUCGUCAGGCUUCACUUUCAUGACUGUUUUGUUUUGGUAUGUCUUUAGGUGACUACUUUAUAUUUCUAAUAUUAUCUUUAGAUUUAUAAAUAUUAGUUUAAAAUAUAUUAUAAUACAAUAUGGUUAGUUCGAUCCAUGCGCAACUCCUAUAUAUUAUACAACUAAAAAUGGUAAAUAAUUGUCUACUACAACUGAUCAACAGACGUUUCCUAAAAAAAACGUCAAUUAGAUAUAUCUUCAUUUGUCCCUUUGAAAUUAACUGUCUUUUGAUCGAACUUUUAUUAUAAUGUCCCUUUUACAAAAUAGAAGGAUUAGAACAAAGAAACAAUAGAAAAAUAAUUCUUAAACACCUAAAACCAUUCUACCAUUAAAGAAAGAAGAAAUAAAUGGAAAUAAUAUAUGUGAUAGGUUGUUGAUAUAAUAGGAAGAGAGAGAUGAAGAGAAAAUAAAUGUAGAAGUAGAAUGUACGUAAGAAAAGUAAGAGAGAUGCAAAUAGGGUUCUAAUAAUUGUCUUGCACUUCUUUUCUUUAUAUUUUAUAAAAUUAUGCAUUAACUAGUAUUUUCUAAAAAUUGUAGGCCAAGUAUAUGAAUCAACUUUCUUUUUUAAGUUUUUAACUUUCAAGUAAAUUUUUAAUAUGCUUUUUUACCAUAUGUUCUUUAAUUUAUGCGUCAAAAAAUAAUGUGAUGCAUAAUUUUCACAGGGAUGUGAUGCCUCGGUUUUGUUGAACAAUACUGCUACGAUCGUAAGCGAACAACAAGCUUUUCCAAAUAACAACUCUUUAAGAGGUUUGGAUGUUGUAAAUCAGAUCAAAACUGCUAUAGAAAGUGCUUGUCCUAACACAGUUUCUUGUGCUGAUAUUCUUGCUCUUGCUGCUCAAGCAUCCUCUGUUCUGGUACAUAUGCCCUAAUUCUAAAUAUAUUUCUGUAAUUUAAUGCCUCGUUGAUCAUUAAAUUUCAAAUGCAAUAUUUAAAUGAUUCUAUUUCUGUUCUGAGUAUAUAAUACUAUAAUAUAUGCAUUUGAUAAUGGUUGCAAUCCAACAAAAAUGAUCAUAUAGUUAAUUAAGGUAGCGGCGCCGUCUGUAUUUUGUUUUCAGUUUUUGCCGCGAGUUUUUAUGCGCCUUGCAUUUACUCGACGUGAAUAAAUUUUCCGUUUCAAAAAAAAAAGUUAAUUAAGGUAGCUUCAAAAUCUAGGGUUAUUUUUAUAAUGAUUAAAUAAAAAAACCAUUUCAAGAAGUUAAUCAUCUAUGAAAAUUAAAUACUACAUCACAAGGCUAAGAGUAACACUUAUUUUACCUAUGAUGAAAUAAUACAGGCACAAGGUCCUAGUUGGACAGUUCCUUUAGGAAGAAGGGAUGGUUUAACUGCAAACCGGACACUUGCAAAUCAAAAUCUUCCGGCCCCAUUCAAUACCUUGGUUCAACUUAAAGCUGCAUUUACUGCCCAAGGCCUGAAUACUACUGAUCUAGUUGCACUCUCGGGUUUGUGCUCAUUUUAGCGAUGAUGUUGACGUUACAUAAAAUAAAAAUUAUAUAUAUGAUUAUUGAUUUAUAUAUGUUUCUCGUUUUCAGGUGCUCAUACGUUUGGAAGAGCUCAUUGCGCACAAUUUGUUGGUCGAUUGUACAACUUCAGCAGUACUGGAAGUCCGGAUCCAACUCUUAACACAACUUACUUACAACAAUUGCGCACAAUAUGUCCCAAUGGUGGACCUGGCACGAACCUUACCAAUUUCGAUCCAACGACUCCUGAUAAAUUUGACAAGAACUAUUACUCCAAUCUUCAAGUGAAAAAGGGCUUGCUCCAAAGUGAUCAAGAGUUGUUCUCAACAUCCGGUGCAGAUACCAUUAGCAUUGUCAACAAAUUCAGCACCGAUCAAAACGCUUUCUUUGAGAGCUUUAAGGCUGCA